ACCGAUCAAGUUUGACAAAGUUGGAAUCCAACUCCCUUAGUGUUCCACUUUCAUGUGUUGUGGCAGUCAUCAUGAAAUAUAACCUUAAAUCUGUUAGUUCAAAUCCCCGGUAAGGAAAAUCUCAAACACACGAACGGGACUUGAACAGAAAAAAAAAAAGAAAGAAAUAGGACAAGGCUCCAAGGCGUGUAUCAAGCCACUACCUUUAAGGUUAUAUUCGCCCCCACCUAUCUUCGGUGUGCAAAUGGGUUCCAAGCAAAUUAACCUCGAGGAUACAAUAAAGCCAAUGACUAUUUGCGUUUUGCAUUGACGAGAAUAGUCCACUACGCACUGAGCAAUGUAUAACAAAAACUCAAUUUCUACAAAAGAUUUCUGUAGUAAUACUUUAUAGAAUAAUCUAAUAAUAUUAAAAAAUAAAGGAAGAAAGAAAGAAUAUUAGAAUUUGUUGGUGUGUUUUCCAAAUGAAAUCUUAUUCCUAUUUAUAAAAAUUUUCAUAUUUCUUCAUAGAGACAUCUUUAAUCAAUAGUUGUCUUUCUGAAUAAUAAUGUCUUUAAAAUAAACACAUAAUUAUUCAUUUAAUAUUAUAACUAUUCAAAUAAUAUUAUUUAAAUAGUUAUAAUUCUUUUUUAAAAAAUUAAAUAAUAUAAUCUUUUAAUUAAUUAUACCUAUUUAUUUAUAGUUAUUAAAACACUGAUGACCUUAAAAAAGGCUGCUGAAAACGUGGAUGGUAAAUCCAUUUCCAAUAUAUAUUUUUCUUGGAUUUUAUGUACGGUGGUGGGAGUGGAAGGCCCACACCUUACCAUCACUAUGUUAUCGUAAUAUUCUUUAAUUAUUUUAUCGCAAAUUAUAUAAUAUCAAUUUGGUCCCCCACAAGUUUGGCAAUUAUUUUUUUUCCUUUUGAUAACUUUUACAAAAUUUCUCUGAGACUGAGACUGACCCAAAAGUGUAAGGAGAAAGCAGGAGGGCCGUGGCGGCGGUCAUUAAAAUUAGUGAGAGCCUAUUUUAUGAUGUCUAACCCAUGAAAUGGGUGAUGGGCUUUCGUCUUCUAUCAAUAUGGCAAUUCCAUUCCCAUGCUAUUUAACUUAUCCAGCCAUUGCUACAAUGAUAAUUUAAAGACUCACAACCAUCUUUAUAAUUAGAUAUGUUUGGAUAUAUUCAUACGUGAGGCCUAUUUAUAUGUUUAUCUAACUAUCUCAAUCCCUUGGUUUAUGCACUAUACUAAUUAUUUUUGUUGUAAUUAUAGGGAUAUUUUUAAAUAAUAUGUAUUUAUACUAUUAUUUAAGUACUUUAUUGAGUUAAUAUCAUCUUUAAUCGAAUCACCAAUUUAGUUAUGGAAUUUAAUAUAUACUUCUUUUAAUAUUUUUAUGAUAAUAUUUUUAUCUUUUCAUAUUUUUAUAAAAGAAUUAUAAACUACAAAUUCAAAUAUUGAACAUAUGUUGAAUAAUAUUAAAAUACAAAUUUUAUUAUAUGAGAUAAAAUUUAGUACUAUACUAUACCAUUAUAAAUUGCAAAUAUGAAUGGAAGAGAACGUUGAUUUCAUUUCAGUGGUAAAUGGUGAUCACCGAGUCUAACAUGUUACUAUGUUUGGAGAGAUUGGUUGGGUGGCACUGUUGAUUGAUGUAUAGCUAUAGCUUUGAUGGGUUUAUUUUCCAACAGUAUAAAUAAUAAAUGGAACCCUAUGAUAUAUCUUUAUCAACUAUCUUUUCCCCCCAAUCACUUUUUCAGCUUCGGCAAAACACAUUUUCAUGACAAAGACCUAAUCUUUUGCAUCUUUGCCUCUUUUUUCUAGUGAUUAUAAUUUUACAAGUCCAAAUCUUUUCAACCAUGCCCUGCCCCCUCAUAAAAUCAUACAUAUUUUAGCUUAUAUUUCUACUGCCAAUUACUUUCUUUUGUUUCUAUAUGUAAUUCAGUUAAUUUCAAAAUAAUAAAUUGAAAUUUGGUUGCCUACAAAAUUAAUAACAUCUUAUUUAUUUUACUUAAAACAACUUUCUCAAAAUAAUUUCUAAAAAGUAGAUUUUUUUUUUUGCAAAAACUAAUAAUUAUUUGUAUGUUUGGAUUAUUCUAUAUAAAAUAUUUUAUGUUAUUUGAUAAAAUUUUCUAAAAUCAUUUUUUUAAAUUUGUUUUCAAUGAAUUAUUUCCCUAUAAGAACCGAAGUUUAUUUUAUAAUAAGAUAAUAUCUUAUAAUAACUUAUAUAGACUUAAUAAUAACCAAUGCUUAAAUUUUAAUUUGAAGUUAUAAAUAUUAUAUAUGCUAGUUUUUUUUCUUGUGUGAUGCACGAAUUAAUUUUAUUUAAUAUAAAUAUAUAUUUAAUUUAAAAAUGAUAAUCAAUAACAUUUGUUCUUGAGAAAAUUUUUUUUAUAGUAAUCCAUAAAUACUUUUUUAUAUAUUUAAAAAAAAUAAAAAUUCAUAAUUUAAAUUUUGGAGAAAAGUUUAAUUUUGUAUAAUAAUUUUUUAAAAAAUUAAUUAUUAAAAUAGUAUUUAAUGUAUUAUUAAUUUACAAAACCUUUUAGAAUUAUGUUUUUUGGAAGAAAAUUUAUAGAGAAUAUUUUUUAAAUUAAAAGUGAUGAUGUAAAAUAAAAAUUUGUUUUUAAUUUGAUUUUAUGAAAAAUUUUAUGGAUAAAUAAUUAAAAUAUUUAUUAAAAUUAAAAAUAUUAAAAUAAAAAAAUAUGUAGAAAAUAAUUUUUUAAAAUUUACUUUGUAAAAUAAUUAUGGCAUGGAGGAAAUUUUAACUCUUACCUUGACUUUGUAAAAAGACAUUUUCUAAAAAGCUUUUUCUAAAAUGUUGAAUAAUAUAAAUUGUAAUACCCCCUACCCAUAUUCGUUGUCGAAAUAGGGUAUGAGGCAUUACCAGAUUUUACCGAAUAAAUUUUUCGCAAAAUCCCAAAAAAAAUUUUUUAACUCAAUAUAACCCCUUUAUAAGUAUCUAAUCUUCCCUGCAAUUUUAAACCGAGACCAAUCCAACACAACCAAUCCAUUUCUACAUAUUUUCAAGAUAGAUUUAACGUAUUCAUAAGAUAACCUCAUCACAUACCAAAACCAAAACUUGGUAGCCAUACCAAUGGCUAACCAUACAUUCAUUUCACAUUAACAUUUACUUUACUAGCUUAUACAUGCCAUUGAUUUUCAAAAUAAAGUUUCUUUAUAUAUCGAGAUCUUGAGGUUGAUAGUGUGAUGCGUCUCAGACCAAAUCCGACCUCCGAGCUCUUAACACUACAAAACAGGGGAAAAGGAAACAAGGUAAGCACUUUGUGCUUAGUAAGCUCAUGUAACAAGAAUUAUACUUACCUAAUAUUUUUAAUACAGUGAAAUAAACAUUCAUACAUCCAUUCAAUACAUUAUUCCCCUAACAUGCACAAACUCAACAUUUAAGUUAGUUCAAUAAUUCCAUGUAUCAAUAAUAUAUAUAUCACGAUUGAUGAGCUCAUCAAUACCAUGAUUUUCAUUCCCUUGUUAUUUUUUCAUAUUUAUCCCGUUGAACUUCUCGGAAUUUCGAUGAAUUUUCAGGGGUACACUUUAGUGUACAAAUCUGGGUUCGUCAAUUCAUAUUCAUGUGCGCACAUUUCCAUUUCAGAGAGCACACUCCCGCGAACCUCAUCCUUACAGUGGGAUUACCUGUCCAGGCUAAAUCCCCUGUAAUAUAAACUCAUAGAGUAUUGUCGGGAUUACCAGUCCAGGCUAAAUCCCUGCAACGACAAUUACUCUAAUGAGCUUGGAUCUGAAUUACCAGUCCAGGCUAAAUUCAGACCCUAAUUCGGAUUACCCGUCCGGGCUAAAUCCAUUUUCCACAUAUUCUUCGGGAGGACUAUAUCAGGAUAGGAUCACCCGUCCGGGCUAGAUCCUUUUUACCGUCAAUUCCUUUUCAGAGAUCCAUCAAAUUUUCCUUUCAUUCAACCGGGAUUUAUUUUCUCUUUUCAUCAAGAAUAUCAAUACUUCAUCAAUUAUCAUACAAUAAACAUCCAAAUCAUAUUCACAUCAAGAAAAAUAUAUUUCAAGCAUUUAAGAAUAUAAUUCAAGUUACACGAACUUACCUCGAUACUUGUUCGUAAACAAAAAUCUACUAAUCCCGAACUUUUUCUUUUCCUCGAUCUAGCUUCGUAUUUGAAUUUUCUGGAUCUAAAUAAAUAAAUUUAACCACUAAUCUAAUACAUUUCAUGCUCAUAUGUAACAUUCUCUAUAAUUCCAUUAUUAUUUAUAGUGCAUUCAAAGUUGUUUCAUUGAGUCAUAGUCACUAAAUUAUUUAUAUCUUGAGCUACGGAACUCCAAAUUAAGAUCCGCUAAUUUUAUACAAAACUAGACUCACAUAUCUUCUAACCAUAAAAAUUUCAGAAUUUUUGGUUUAUCCAAUAAGUACAUUUUAUUCUUUAAAGUUUCCCCUAUUUCACUGUUUGACACUUCCGACCCCUCUUCACUAAAAAUUAAUUAUCUUAUUGUACAGAAUUCAGAUGAUGUUCUCGCUUGUUUAUUUUGAAAAUAGACUCAUUAAGUAUUUUAAAUAUAUAAAUUUAAGCCCCUAAUUAUUUUUAUCCAAUUUUUUAUUAUUUUCCAAAGUCGGAGUAGGGGAACCCGAAUUCAUUCUGACCUUGUCUCACAAAAUCUAUUAUAUCUCAUGAUUUACAAUUCCAUUGCUUACAUCGUUUCUUUUAUAAGAAACUAGACUCAAUAAGCUUUAAUUUAAUAUUUUGUUCAUCCUAUAAUUCGAUCUCUACAAUAUUUGGUGAUUUUUCAAAGUUAGACUACUACUGCUGUCCAAAACUGUUUUAGUACAUGAUGUUAAUUACCAUUUUUCCCUAAGCUUUCAAUAAAUGAUAAUUUCAUCCCUACUCAAUUAACCUCUCAAUUGAGCUGAUUUUUCUCAAUUAACACUUUAUCCCAUCACUUUAAACUACUUUAUAACCUUUGGAAAUCAUAAUUUUAGCACUAGACUUUAAUUCCAAACCUUUUCACAAUUAGGUCCUACAAAUCAAUUUCUAUUGAAAUUACCUAUUAAAAUCAUCUCAUAAACAAAUUAAAGCUUCAAUUUCAUGCUAUUUCAUCAUAAACUUCCAGCACAAAUUCAUAGCAACUUUCAAUUUCAUUCAUAAAAUCAAAAACUAAUGAAUUUAGUAAUAGGACCUAGUUGUAGAAGUCUUAGAAACACAAAAACUACAAGAAAAAUGCAAGGAUUAACUCACUUUGUGCAAAAAUUAUGAAAAACCAGCUUGAAUAAACCCUUAGGACGUUUUUGGCUUAUGAGAAUGCAGAAAAUAAAGAGAAUUCUAGAUAUUCCAAUUUGGUCUUAUUUUUAUGUUAGUAAAAUUUAUUAUUUUCCCAUUUUACCCUUAUUUCACCAAUUCUCCUGAUUUUUCUUAGCUUAUGCCGCCCAAAAUAUAUCUUUUUGGGCUUAUUUAUAAUUUAUGUCCCUCCUCAUUUAACGAUUGAGCUAUUUAAUCCUUCUAGUAACUUUUACACCUUUUUCAAUUUAGUCCUUUUCACUUAAUUGACUACCCAAAUAUUAAAAUUUUCUAACGAAAUUUUAAUACCAUAUUACUAACACUUCAUAAAUAUUUAUAAAAAUAUUUCCGACUCGGUUUUACGAGACCGAGGUCUCGAUACCUUGUUUUUACCCAAUUUCUUCAAUAAUUUCUUUUUCUAACUAACCACUAAAUCGGUAAAAUUCUUCUAUUUAUAUUUUCAUACGAUUUUCCUAUCAUAUCAAUAUUCAUACAAAAAUAUUAAAAUAAAUUUAUCUUUAAGUCAGAUUUAUGGCUACGAAACCACUGUUCCGAUAACCUUGAAUUUAGGCCAUUACAUAAAUGUAUAAAUCAUAUUAUUUAUUCUUAUUUUAAAAAUGUUUAAUAAUAUAAACGUAUAUAUUUAUUGUGAGAAUUUUGGUUCAGUAUAAGUAGAAUUGUUCAUGGGUGGGGUCGGAUACGGGUUGGGUCUUGAUCAAAAGUUUGGCUUGUUUGAUAGGCCUGAGUUUGGUCCGUUCCAAAAAAAUGGACCUAAAAUUUUUUCCAAGGUCGGCCCGGAUAAAAAUGCUAAAACUAGGAUCAGGCUCGCCCAUAUUAAAAUUUUUAUAUAAUUUCUUUUAAAAAAUAUAUUAUAUCAAAACACUAAAAAUAUUAAGAUAAAUGUUUCCCAACAAAUUGAAAUAAAUUUAAUAAAAAAUCAUUAUACUUAAAUAAUACUAAGAUAGGUGCAACUUAACAAGCAAAUGUCUCUAAAAUAGUAGCAAAAUUCACAAUAAAAUAAGAGUAACACAAUAUCCAAACAAUAACAACAAAAUACUAGCAACAUAAUAGUGAAAUGGCAGUAAAAUAGUGAGAAAACAACAACAAAACAGUGAGAAAUAGUAAGAAAAUAAUAUACUUAUUUGCAAAUUUGGGUCGGGCUCGAGCUAAAAAAGCCUUACCCAAGGCCCGACCCUUUUUCUAAACGAGUCUUAUUUUUUGCCCAAUCCCAUUUUUCGAAUCUAUAUACCCAAACUCACUCACUUUUCGGGCGGACCUUUGGGUCGGGCCAAGUAACUCGGCCCAUAAACAGUUAUAAGUAUAAGCGAUAUUAUUAAAUCAACUUUGUAAAAAACAUUUUUUUAAACUAUUGAAUAAUAUAAAUGUAUACAUUUAUAAAUUAACUUUUAUAAAAUAAUUAAUCGUGGGUCUUAAUUGAUAUUCUAAAGUUAUAAUUAAUGAGUUAUUAAAAAAUAAGAGUUGUUAAAAUUACACCUAAUCCACUAAAACUAUUUUCCAUUUUUAAGUCUACUUUCCUUCUUUGUUUGAAAACAUUGCUAUAGAUUAUAUAUAGGUUUAAUAUUUGUUUUGGUAUCUGAGGGUCUGUUUGAUUGGCAGUAAAAUGUUUUCCGUAAAAUGAUUUCUGGAAAAUGUUUUACUUUUCUGUAAAAUGACUUACUAGAAAAUAUUUUCUAGUGUUUGAUUGAAUCUGUGUAAAAUAUUUUCUGCUGUUUGACAGAUUUCCUGAAAAUAUUUUCCAGAAAAGUUGUUUUUUACAUAUAUUAAUAUAUAUUAAUAAAUUUUUAUAUUUUAAAUUGUUUUUACAUAUAUUGCAAUGAUUUAUUUAUAAUAAUACUCAAUAAUAAGCUACAAUAUAGAUCGUUAUAAAUUGAAAAAAUAUUAUCCACAAUGAGUACUAGUAAGAAUAUUGAAUAAUUAUAAAUUGCUUCGAAACCAUAAUGAGUACUAGAAAUAAUAUUAUCCAAAUACAUAAUUAGUAGUAUACUACAUAGUAACAACAUUGUCCAAGUGCAUAAUAUUACACCACAUAAAAGUAUCAAUAUCUUCAACCCUGAGAAAAUUUUUGAAGCCAAAUUUUUCUAUGCUUCUUACUUUUAACUAAAAACAUUUUGGCCUCUGAUUCAUGACUCCCUAGAUAAUCAAACACAGAACACAAGAAGUCAUCAUCAAAUCCUUUUUCCUCCAUCAACAUCACUUGUUCGUAAAGCUGUGCUGUCUUGUCGGCAGUAAAUUGUUUCAAAGCAUUAGCAAUUUCGCCAAGUUGCUCACCCACAAAUUUAAUUUGUUCAUCAACGAGACUUUCUUGACCACUUUUUCUUUUACGUUUGGAUGUGCUAGAUGAAGAUACAUUUGUUCUUACCUCUUCAGCCUCUUCAUUGUCGCAGUCUACAGGCAUUGAAUCUUCAUUACCAUCAUCCAAAAUCUAUGUCAGCAAAUGUUCUGGCAAAACUCCCUGUUGCCAUAUCUUUGCCAACAACCACAGCCAUUUCAUCAUAAUGAUCAAUGCUUUUAUUCAAAAAUGGUUCAUACUUCUUGUGUGCCUGUUGGAUAUUAUACACAAUUAGAAUAACAAGUAAAAAACAAUUGAAAUGUACUUAACAUAUAUAUACAUAUAUUACCAUCACAGUUGCAUCGUAUGUCGCUCUAUCACAUGUGAUCAUUUUCAUGUUAUCAUCCCAUCCAAAACCACUUUCACCUCGAAUUUUGCAUAUAAUCUGCCACUGGUUUUUUACUGUCCUCAAAUGAUUUUCCACGUGCUUCGUAUCGCAUUGGACUUGGGAUCUUUCAGAAAUGGCGUCGGUAACUUGAUUAAUAGAAACUGAUUUGAAAGUAUUAGAAGGCUUAUUUCCUUUUUGAGCCUCCUCUGCUAAAAUUUCAAGGAAAACAUGUUCCAUCGGUUUUGUCCACUUGAAUUGCUUGGAGGUCCCUUCUUUGUUGCCCUUACCCAUUCUACAUUAAAUAAUUGUCAUUGUCAAUAAUUUCAAUAUCCAACAAGCUUAAAACAUAAUAAUCAAUUCAAUAUCCAACAAUGUUAAAACAUAAUCAAUAUCUAACAAAUUCAAGACAUAUAUCAAAAUCCAACAAUCUAAAAUUUCAAUAUCAUUAUCCAACCAACAUUUACAAAAAAAAAACAUCAGUCUAAAACAUACAUAACAUAGAAACAAUAACCCUAAGCCCUAAAUCUACCUAAUAUUUCUAGCCAUAUAAUCAGUCCACAUAGUUUGUGCAAUCUCAUCUCUCUUAGCAGACCAUUCUCUUGCUUCUUGUCUUUCUUCUCGCUCCAUGAGAGUUUGUAUUAUCGAAUCAAACUCAGGCUCCUCGUAUAAUCCUUGAUUAAGUAAAUCACUAGGAUCAACUCCCAUUAUAUGAUUAUGAAUGAUACAGCAAGCCAAAACUAUAUCUACUUGAGUUUGAAAAUUCCAAAAUGGUUCAGCAUCUAAUACACGAAACCGUUUCUUCAAAAUCCGAAAAACACGUUCAACAGUGAUCCGUAAUGAUGAAUGUCGAAGAUUAAAGAGUUCCUUUGCAUUUUCAGGCCCUUCAGCACCAAACUCUUUUAAAUGAUAUCGGACACCACGAUAUGGGGUAAUACAUCCAAUUCGGAUGCCAUAUCCAGCAUCAGCAAGAUAAUAUUUACCUACAAUUUUACAAUACGUAAUUAAUACUGAUAAACUAUGAGCUUACUGGAACUAUUUGUGAUAAAUAUUACCUUCUGGAAUUCUUAAUCCUCUUGGGCGUGAAAGUGCAUCACUUAAAAUACGAGAAUCAUGUGCACUAUCUUCCCAACCAGCUAGAACAUAGGCAAUUUCAAAUCAAAUGUAAUGGCAGCCAAUACAUUUUGUGUCAUCCCCCCUUUACGGCUACGAAAUCUUCCUUGCAUGCUAAGUGGAACAGAUGCACGAAUAUGAGUUCCAUAUAAUGCUCCAAUACAAUCUUUAAAAUAAGGAUAAAACCUUGGAUUGUUUCUAAUUUCACUAGGAGUUGACUCAUCAGGUAAUCUAAUAACUAGUCUAUACAAUUUCAAAAUAGCUCUCAAUAUAACCCUAAAGUAAUGGUGAACUAUCUGAAUUGAUCUAUAAUAUCUAGAUCCAAUCACUCGAAACCUUACAUUAUGACCAAUUAUAUGUAAAAAUAUAACUACUUGCUCCCUAAUAUCGACAGAUUUAGACGAUUGUAACAAAUUAUUCGUACUAAGAAUAUCACAUAAAUUAAAAAAGGCAAUCGGUCUCAUCAUUAUUAUAUCAAUGCAAUGCUGGUCACCACUAUAUAAAAUACUAUUAAUAUAGUUUUCUCUUUCAUAAUCUCGAUUCACACGACGGCGAGAAGCAAUUUUCUUCCUAGUUUCUAAUUUUUUAAUCCAAAGAGCCCUAAAAGCUAAAACUGAAGCCACGACCCCGGCAAUUGCCAUUUGAUGUUGAUUACGAUCCAUCUACACAAAAUAAUGCCACACAAAUAUAUGAUCACUAGUACAAAAGAUACAAGAUUUUCAUAAGAUCACAUAAAGUUACCAUGACUAAAAAAGUGCAUACAUACAUAUCAAGCUAAUUAUAAUUGCCCAAUAAUAAUUUUUUUUAAAGUAGCACUUAAAAUAUAUUGAUCAUAGUUAAUACAAUACUUCAAUUGGUGCAAGAGUUUGUUAUAUAUUAUUAGGUUAUCUUUCAUGUAAAAAUAUAAAAUAUUUUUAUUAUUUAAGUUACCAUGACUUAAAAUAUAUUGAUCAUGUAUUUAUAAAGUUACCAUGACUUAAAAUAUAUUGAUCAUAGUUAAUAAUAUGUUUCUAUAAAGUUACCAUGACGUAAAAUAUAUUGAUAAUGUAUUUAUAAAGAGUUUUAAAUUAUAAUAUGUUUCAUGUAUUUAAAGAGUUUUAAAUAUAUUGAUCAUGUAUUAAAGUUACCAUGACUUAAAAUAUCUUUCAUGUAUUUGUUAUAUAUUGAUCAUAGUUAAUAAUAUGUUUUUAUAAAGUUACCAUGACUUAAAAUUAUUCGUACUGUUUUUAUAAAGUUACCAUGACUUAAAAUAUAUUGAUCAUGUUUUUAUAAAUGUUGAUGCUUCUUUUUUUAAAAUAUAAAAGAGUUUUAAAUACUUCAAUUGCUAUCAAGUGUGUUUUCUUUUUUUUAUUUCAAUAUGAACAAAAAAAUUUGACAAUGUUAUAAAUUUUUUUAUUUCUAUUUUUUAUAAUUUUUUAAAUUAUAAAUUGAUUACUUUUUAUAAAAAAUAAAUAAUGUUUAAGUGCACUGCUACAAUUGCUAUAUAUACAGUUAAAAUUUCGGACAUAAUUAACAAAAAUAUCAGUCCCUAAGAUGCCUAUAUAGAUGAGUUAUUACUAGCUUCCCGAUUUCUUAAAUCAAAAUCUACUUGAAAAGUUAAAAACAAAUUUGAUUUUGGUUCAUCUGUCAUUUGCAAAAGUUUUGAGACUCUCUCGUUUCUAACUUCAUCUUUUCUUUAAUUCCGAGUCUUUGAACUGUGAAAAAAAUGGUGGGGUGCAUGAAUUAUUUCCCUCAUGUUCAUACUGUAUAUUCACUACAAUCUCUUUCAUGCAAAUCGAUAUCAAUGUGUAAUAUUUAAACAACAUUUCCUUAUAUUUUAAAGAAAAAAACAUAAUUCCUUGCCAUAAACUCUAUAUUUCUACAUAAAUUUAAAUCUAUAACAUCUACCAUCAACCAAAUAUAACAGCUCAUUACUGCCAUUUCCCAACAAAUUACAGAAAAAAUGUAAAUCAAUAAUAAACCAUACCCAAACACAUCCAACAACCAUUUAAUUCAGUUGAACCGAAUUAUAACAACCACAUAUUAUACCAAAUCAUAAAUCAAGCACACCACAAACCUCUUAUGAAAAUAUCGACCAAGGCCACCAACAGGAGUACGAAUGCUGAGGUAGAGGCUAGGACAGCAAGAACUAUACAGCUGGAGGUCAAGCAUAGAAAGAAAUUAGAACCGUUAGAAGCAAUAAAAAAUAGAAGCUAAGACAACAUCAGUCUUGCCAUCAUCAAUAAGUCUGGUUCGUUCAAACCCAAAACCUAAUAAACAUAAUCAAAAUCCCUGUCUGCUACUGCUUAAUGUAAUAGAAAGUAAAGAGCUUAGACACAUGUAUGAUUCCAAACAAGUAAUAUAACAUUUCUGAUAAUGGCUAUAUAAUAUUAUAUCUCGAUAACCAUAUUGCAAAAGUAAUCCUACAUUUUCGAGGAUAAGGUAAGAUUCUGGAAUAGCAUUCUAUUUAGAUUUCAAAGAUUACUUAAGUCGAUAAUAUCACACUCCACUACUUCCUUAGAUAUUACCAAUAGUGUUAAGAGUCUGGUUGCAACAAUGGCUGCAGACGAAAUGGCAGUAACCAUGGGUUUUUUUACUCUCAAUUAUUACUCACAGAGUACUUGGUUUUGCUAGUGGUAGUGAAGAUUGAUGGAUUCGUACUUACAGCUAUUACUUAAAGGGCGAAGUGGACCUCAAAGAAAGCUAGUAGUGUUUAUCUAUUACUCGAGAUGACUGGGAGGAGUUUGGUUCUUCUAAUUAAGCUGGCAUUAAAUUCUUAAAUUAUUGUUGAUUCAACAAAAAAUCCAUGGUUGGGUCAACUGAAGUGUUUUCUAUCAGUAAUUUUAACUUGCCAUUGAAAAUGUUGUCAUAGCAAGUGUGGGUCUUGAGGUUUAUAGAUGAUUUCCAUUGCUCGUAUCGAAAAUAUAAUUUCUUCAUUACUAAAAAUAGUCAUGAAAUUUCAUAAACAUACAAACCUUCCAAGAACACCUGCUCUAUAGAAAUGAAAAAUAAUAAAAGCUACUAUGAGUAUGAUUGCACUCAUACUUAGAACAAUUCAAUGGCAUAGGAAAAGAGUGUCAUGAACCAAUUUUAAUCAUUUUAGUAAAUAGUUCAGAGCUAACACCAAUAGUAGUGAAAAGAUAGGCAAAAUGCUCAUCCUAAUUACUCAAGCAGUCCAAAGAAAAAAAAAACAACAGUUUAAUAUCAAAAACAGGUCAAAACCAACAAUGUAGCACAAACAAUCCAACAAAAACAACCAAUAACAGUUUAACUACACAUGCAGUUCAAAAAACCAAAUAUUGGCACUUUACAAGUAUUCCAAAUACAAAAACAACAACUAGCAACAGUUUAUUAUUUACCAAAAAAUACGAAAAUUUGCAGGAUCAGACAUUACUGAUCUGCAUAUUUAUUAUUUACCUUGCAUUACCCAAUUUCGUGCAUAAAAACCUAAAACCCUUUUACAAUUGAACUAUGCAUAACAUAGAAACAGAAAAUACAAACUCAGCAAGUCUUUUUCGACAUUGAAAAUAAAACCAUAAAAAAUCAAAUAAUGUCUACAAUAAUAAGGUUACCUGAAAUUUCCCACAGAUCUGCCGGAAAUUGGAGUGGAGAUAGCAAAAAUAAAUGGUGGUCGGAGAGAACGUUUAGAUCAGUAACUGAAUCAGUCGGAGAAGAGGGAACCGAGGAAAUGAAAGAAAACUGCGAUAAGCUGCCACUGGGAACCGAGGAAAUGAAGGAAUGAAGGAGUUCUUGUGGGGGAUUAGUGGAAAAUCAGUCGACAGAUCUUGUGGGGGUGUGGAAAUGGAAGGAAAUGAAGGAAUGAAGGUAUUAGAAGGCUGGAGAGAAAACGGAAAAUGUCUUACCGAAAUGAAGGGCGUAAGACAUUUUCCCCAAUUUUGUAAUUGGUUUCCCGUGUUGCGGAAUUGGUUUUACAAAAAGAAAAUAUUUUCCUGCUAUCAAACACCGGAAAACGUGUAAAACCAAUUCCGAAAUUGGUUUUCCCCUAUCAAACACAACCUGAAUUUUGACAAAUCUUUUAAUGUGGUAUUUAAAAUUUUAAAAAUUCAAUUUUGAUAUCUGAACUAUAACAUUAUUUAUCAAUGCGGUAGCUCUUACUAACUAUUAAUCUUUUACUUGUCAUGACAUGCAGUCCGAUCAAAGGUUAUCAUGUGUCACUUUUUGUCAAAAAUAUUUUAUUUUAAAUAAAGCAUUGGGGACUUAAAAAUUAAAUAAAAAAUUCUUUUAAUCUUAACGUUUUUUCUUUUCAAAAUUAAUAAUCUUUAAUUAAAAUAAACUUAAAAAAUGGAAAUUAAAAUUUCAUUUUAUUUUGAAAAACCAAAAAAUGUGUUUCUUCUUCCACUUAAAAAGCAUAUUAUUUUUUAACUUUUAAAUUUUUUAAAAAUCAUCUUUUCAUUUAAUCCAAGCUUUUAUUCCAUCAACUUGUUUUUAGCAUGAAUCGAUUUAAAUUUUAUUUUUGAAUUACUUUUGGGAAGAACAUUUCUUGGUUCAUUCAACAUUUCCGGAGUCUUUUGAAAAGAAAUUUAAGAACAUUUUUAUUUUUUUUAUUUAAGAAGUCGUAUUACAAAGAAUUUUGAACUACAAAUCAACAUAACAUCCUCACUGUUAUGAAAUAACUAUUUGCAAUGGUUAAUGAAUUUAAAUGACCGUUAAUUUUGUUUUCUGCUCUUUAAUUUUUGUUUAAGUUGUAGUGCUAAAAUGUUGCAUUUUAGGUCCAAGGUUUGUUUGAUGAAAUAAUGCUUUUUGGUAGUUGAAUUAACAGACUGUUAAGUUGCAAUUAGUCGUUAUUUCCUCCUUUUAUCAUGAAUUAGGGGGUGAUUGGUUAGUUAUGAAAAUUGAAAAACAAUUUUUCUUUUCUUCUCUCAGAGCUCUUCUUACUUUCCUCUUCUUAUUAAUCUAUUAUUCUCUUUUUUUUAUUUUGCACGUUAUAAGGGUAUCAGAGCUCGUACAUUCCUCAUGGCCAACGACUGAGUGACUACAAGAAAUGAAUCAGCUUCAACAGGAGUUGUCUUAGCUUCGAGUGGACAUAGAUACCAAAUUGGAUACUUGGUUCAAGGAUUUUCAAGAAGGGUUCAAGAGUGACAUGUGCUCAGAGUUGCAUUGCAUUUUGGAGCAAUUUUUGCUCUUUAGCAGCCUCGUUAUCGAGUGGUUGCCUGCGAGUAUAGACGGACUCCCAAGAGAUUAACCACUGUGUUGCGAAACCAAACCCAUCUUCAGCUUACUCCUCACAUGAAUGAAUUUGUUUCUGUUAAAGUGAAGGUUGGAGGCCCAGUUUCUGACAAUUGGCGCGCGUCCUUGGCAAGUACAAAAGUGCCCCAUCCCAGCAGUGGCACCUUAAGUGGUAACUUUCAAUUGGUAGAUCUGUUGGAACAUAUCGAGAAUAGGUGGCUCAUUCCUCAUACUGCAAUCGAUGAAGUAUGCAACCAAAGUCUACCAUGAUAAACUAGCGAGUUGUCCUAAAGUAAUCCCAUAUUCAAUCAACACAUUACAGAAGAAUGGAUGUAGAGGGAUGUGAAAACCAACCUCGAAAACAUAAAGAGGAAGAAUGAUGUCAUCAGUGCUAUCACUUAGUCAACACCCUCCUUGAACUAAACUACAGUCAUAGGCGAAAUUGGGCAACUGUAUUCCUCUAAUACCCAGAUAUUUGACCAGUUCGUUUCUUGUCAUUGAACAUUAAAAGAAAGGGGUCUUUACCGGGGUGUUUAUCUCCCGAUUGCUAGGUCCAGCCUUGCCACCUAUUGUAGAACUACCCCAACGGACCCUUAAACUUUAUCGUCACAAUUUUUUUCACCCUCACGGUGAUUGUCUUUAACCCUAAUCAUUUUUGUAAAAGGAAAGAAAUAGAGAAGAUUAAAAGAUUACCUAAAAAUAAAAUUGAGAAGUUGUCUAAUGAAGAAGGGAGGCAAGACUCAGACAAUGAAAACAAAGAAAUCAAAGGAAGAAAACUUAGGGAUUCUUAAAGAAACUUAAUCGAUAAGGAAAUUUUGGGGGGAAAUGAUUUCAAAAGUAAGGAUUUCCCUUUCUCUACAUCUUGAAAGAUAUAGCCAAUCGUCUCUCGGAAGAUUUCAAAUUUGUAAUAAACUGUUCAAUUCUCCAAAUCAACAUCUGACACUUGUUAGCCACGGGAAAGGUUUUUCUUAAACCCUUAGAUAUUCAAAAAAGCGAGAAUAUCUGCCAGAGCCAAUUGUCUAUCAAGUACCCACCAAUUGGUAUUUUUUAUUAAAUAACCCACCUAGUAGCAUUAUAUUAGGUAACUAUUCGGUUCGGGUGUAAGCUAAGGCUCCACUAGAAAACCGCGAGUAUAUUUGUAUGCGACUAUCCGCUUCAUGUGAAGUAUAGAUGGAUCCGCCAUUCAAGUGGAAUGAGUUAAAAGUGAAUCCAUGAUAAAGUAAACAACGCUAAGGAAUCAGGGAAGAGUACAAGUGUCUACCUCUACGACAAGAGGGAGUUAUUGAAGAAAAUAGUAAUACUCUGAGUCCGCUUCUGGAUUUAGUCACAAGAAGAAAUUUUGAGGAUAAAAAAUUUUUUAAGGGUAGGAGAGUUGUCACACCCGGUUCCUAUUAAAGUCUGAAAUUAGGAAGGAUUGGUAGUUAAUGGAAAAAUAUAGUAAGUUGAUCUACCACAAUUCGUAAUGGCAAAUUAGAGUAUUUUCGACACUUAAUGAGUUUUUUUAGUACUUUUAUAUGUUUUAUUUCAUUUUCCAUUUUCAGUAGUUUUAGUUUAAAUUAGGUAAAAUAAGCGUUUUAUGCACUUUUUAGUUUUUUAAUGACUCGUAAAGCCAAUUCGGGCCUCGGGUAUGAAUAAUGGGUUACUCGAGUGUGCAGGGCAUCAAUUUGGGCUUAAGUAUGUAAGAAACGAUGAUUAUGUCGCGACAUCAACAUCUAGCAUCGUGACAUUGAACUUAGAAGCAUCAAGAGCUGAAAACAAGGUUGACAUCAUAACAUGAGGAUCUUGUCGUUGCGGCAUUGUGACGUAAGAAUGACUAGAUGAUGAUGUCAACAGCUACGUGAAUAGAAUUUUAGAAGUUGUAAUUUGUUUAUUAAGCUAGGGGUAUUUUAGGAAUAAUGUAACACUCCAACCUCUGUUGGCGGACUGAGACAUUACACUGAAGAUAAACUUAAACUUGGUUCAUACUUUUACUAAGGUUUCAGCAUAUACUCAUUGAACUGGGGCAUUAACCCAAGAUUUUAAAAGACAAAACAAUCAAAACAAGGAUACACCAUAUAAUAUAAAACAUAAUUUAAAACUUUCGAUAGAAGCUUUACAAAAUUUGCUAGGUUUAUAUAAAACUUAAAGUGAGUUAUUUUCUACACAAAAGUUUGAAGUGCAUCAUUGAUAGUUAAAUAUUGUCUAAAUCAAUUUGGCGUAUACAAUUAAAGAUGGUUUCAUAAACCAUAUUACAAAGGUUUAACCUAUACUUCAAGAGUACGUAAACAUUCUCUUUAAAACAGUGAUUUGGCAAAAGAUGUAACUUAUUACAAAUGUUGUUACAAAAUAGAGCUACUCGCCACCCGCCUAAAAACAAAAGUAUAUGCAUGUCACAAAAAAACAUUGGUGAGGCUCACAACAGAGGUUGCUCUAUCUAGCUAAGUCCCUUCUACAAGCCCUUUACACCAAGUUACCACCUGGAAAAAAGAAAGAAAGGAAGUAAGUUCGAAAGAACUUAAUGAGCUCUAAAAUUAAAAUGCUCAACCCUUUCCAAUCAAGUUACAUGAAUAGGGAUAAAAAACAUGUACUUAUACAUACAUUUAAAUUAUUAAGUCAAUAUUUUACACGAAAAGACAUUUGGGCAUAUACCCUCAUACAUAGCUCAAUGGCGGAUACCUAUCCUCGAUAGAUAGUAUCCCUAGGCAGACUCUAUUACCAGGGGAAUACUUUCACCCCUACUUCCCCAAAGAACAGUUUUCUUAACAUCAACAGAACGGAUACUUCCUGUAAGCAACACGAAUACUACUAACUCUUACCCUUUUUAUCUCAGACAUAUUGUUUGACUGGUACUUACACGCUUAUCGAAUUCACUUUCACUAGGGAAAAUAUUAUACACCAAGCACAACAAUUUGAUGGAUACGCUAUGUACACAACACAGUAAUAGGAUUAAGAUUUACCACCUAUCAUACAAUAUUAUCAUACACUAUAAGUACAUUACCAAAUAUUCCUACUCAGAGUCUCAUUCCUCUCUUCAGAUAUACAUAACAUACAACAAAUCCAGAUUCACAUUUUCUUAUUCUUUUUCUUGUCCUUCCUUAUGUUAACCUCGAAUCUCAUAUUCACACAUCAAAACAUAAAUCAUACUUCAUGUUAUUUCAAACAGAUCUGUGUUCCUAUGAGUUCGGAGAUAUUUGACAUGGUUAAUAACUAACAUGCCCUACUGAUGGCAGCACCCAUAUCACUAGGUUGGUUAACAACUAACAUGCCCUACCAGAGACCCAGCACUUACACCAAUCUGGUUAGCAAUUAACAUGUCCUACUAGUAUCCCACCUUAUUCGCACAUCUGGUUAGCAACUAGCAUGCCUUACCAGUGGCCCACCUUAUUCACCCAUCUGGUUAGCAACUAGCAUGCCUUACCAGUGGCCCACCUUAUUCACCCAUCUGGUUAGCAACUAACAUGCCCUGCCAGUAAUCUAUCUUAUCCAGAUACUAAUUUUGCGCACCAAGGAGGUCGUGUCUAUUUUCUGUCACUUACAUGCACAUGUAAAUGAUUACAUACAACAGCUUACCAUAUUUCAUGAUCAUGGUUUCACCUGAAUUCAUAAAUUGUAACUAUGACAACCAGAACUUAACAGUAUACAAAGACUCAGAGGAAACUCACACAUGACUAACACAAACUGGAUACUCACAGAAGAUCUCAAAGUAGUUGGUUACACCGCAAGUCUUUCGCUACACUCUACAAUAUUUACUUGUUAUUCAAACACUCGUUAGUUCUUCUCCAAUGAAAUUCUUCUCUCUUAUCAGGGUAAAAGAAUAAAAACAAAACAGAAGAAAGAAAAGAAGAACCCCCACUACACCAGCCACACUGAUAUUUAUAGCCCUCAUAGCUCUCACAAUAACCCUACACAUGGGCAACCAUACAAAGCUAACUUAACACUCUUUUGUGGCCGACAUAAUAAUUUCUAGGCCAAUCCUACCUUAAACAUCCAUUGCAUUCUAGUUAAUUCCCAACUAGAUCUUAAUAGAAAACCAACAAAAACUAAACAUAGACCUAUGUGCUCAUAAAGAAAACUAUCGGUGCCAUGACCUAACAAUUUACCAUUAGCGGAUACUAACAAAAGGGUCUACCAACACAACGCUUGCCAAGAGAAUUCGUUGAUUGACGGGUUUUCCACAACGACCAUGUCAAGACGUAUAGAUCAGUAACCUAUACUUUGCCAAAAGAUGAACCUUCAGCCAAGUUUUUACAGACUUACCCAAUUAGCCAAAAAUCCACCAAUCUGGCGCGACAACUAGAAUUAACUUAACUUGGUGAAUAGGGUGUAAAUCAGCCUUCCUUGGCUUAUACUUAGCCAGAAAUCUGCCUACACAACCCACCAACUAAGACUACUCCAAGCAGGGUGUUACAAAUAAAUUACACUAAGGUAGCCUUAAUUUGUGCCUAUAUAAAUACUCUUAUACUUCUAUUAAAAGGUUGUUGAAAGUUAGACAUUAGACAGAAAAUUAGACAGUUUUAUUUCCUUUUAUUUAGUUUUAUUUUUAUGUUCGCUUGGUCAAGAUUUUCCUUUUUCCGAUGUGAAGACGAUUGCGAGUGGGGAUUGCUCUGGAACCGCACAUAUAUUUAUUCAAGAGAUUUCUCCUACUUAUUAUUCUUUUAUUUAUAUUUUCGUUAGCUUAAUCAACCGAUGUUUAUAUGAAUAUUAGAAUAAAUUAUGCUUUAUUUAUGUCUAGCAUGUUUUGGUUAUGAAAUUGUUUAAUUGAUUAAGUAGUUUAACAAAUGGAUGUAUGAGUAGUUAACAAAUUAACGAGGGUUUCUCUUACAAACUAAUUGGUAUAAAUUCAUGUGUAAUUAAAACCUAGGAAGUGACGAACCUAAGAAGUAAUAUAGGUAAACGGAUUGAGAGAUGAGGUUACUGAGUAAAUCGUGGAUUUAUCCUGGUCAAGAAAGUAAAGCCGAGAGGUAAGCAUGUACUGGUCUAUUAGUUAGGCAAUAGAGGCCAAAAGGUAAUAUUGUCUAGUUAAUAAUUAAUUCAUUAUUAAAACCCGAGUUCUCCUGUUAAUUAUAAUCGUUAAAGCAAGUUAAUAUUCUAUAUGUUAAUCAGACAUAGGCUUAAAGCUUGCAUAUUUGACACUAGGAAUAAGAAAUUCCAUUAGGUUAAUUUAGGGUAAUUAAUUUAAUUAGUUUAACCGCUAUUUUUGGGUUCACACUACUAACUUGUAAAUUGAUUCGAUUAUUUAUUAUUUUUUGUAAUUAAUUUAAUAAUAAAUUUCUCCAACCUGCAAUCCAUUGGUUAUGAUCUUCGAAAUACUCGUCAGUGUUCUGUUGUAACACAAAACUAUAUUACAAUUUGACCUGUUCGCUAGUAGAUACCACACUUAAUUUUAUAUAUUUUAUUUGCACGAUUUUUACUCUAAACGUUCACACUUUUGGAGGUGGUUAUAAGUCCGGCGAACCUUACUGAGAAAUCUGUAAACUUUAGUGGCUCGAAGGAUAAAUAAUUGGGAUUCAAUCUUGGUUCAAUUAAGUUGGAACCGGUUGGUUCUUUAGUGGGACACAAAAUGAUUACCGAUGAAUAGUUAUUUGGGGCAUUGGACGGUGUAACAACUCAAAAUUCAGAGAAGUUGAGAAAUAUUUAUGGGAUUACCUUAGAAAUAAACUGAAUGUUGGUUAGAUAAUUUUAAUUAAUCGGUGUCCAAUUAGGGUACAGGGACUAAAAUCACAUAAGGGUUAAAAGUAAGGAUUUUCAAAGAAUUACAUUUAAAAUUGAAUAAGUAAAGGAUCUAUUACGCAAAUAAACCAAUAUAUAUUGGGUUAAAGGUGGUCGGUCAUGGUAUUGCUUUUAUGUUUUUUAUAAAACUUAGUUAAUUAAAUUAUACUAAAAUAAAAAAAUGAAAAAAAAAGAAAAUGAAAUAAGUAAAUAAGAUAGAAACAAUUAGCAUGGUGGACGGAAAGAGAAACAAAAAAGAGAGAGAGAGAGAGAAGAAGGAAGAAAACACAUUUGGCUUUCUCAACAAUUUGCAUGCUGAAUUGGAGAAAGAAAGGAAGAAGAGUUUCAGCCAUUUAGUUCUAUGUUUUGAAGCUCAGUUUGGUCAGUAAUUUUUUGUCUUCUUUACAUGAAUAUUGUAUUUUUCGAACCCUAAGAUCAUGAGUUAAAUUACCCAUGUUGAAAAUUUUAGAAUUGUUGAAGUUAAUAGAAGUUACUAUGAUAGAAAAAUCUAAGUUCUUAAUGUUAUUUUGGUAAAUUUUUGAAGUUGGAAGUGAAGUGGGACAAUUUGUAAAGUCAAUUCAUGAAAUCGUGCAUUGAGGAUUAAAUUGUGGAAAAAUUUGAAAUAUGGGGUUAAAUUGUUUAAUUAUAUGAAGCUUAGGGUUUGGUUUUGGAGGUUGUUCUUUGUGCUGGAAAAUUUUGGGUUGAAUUACUAAGUUUUAGUGAGCAAUUAAAAUAUUUUGUACCAUGGGUUUUGAUAGUAUUAGCUUUUAAAAAGUUAAAUGUUAUAAAUUAAACUAGCAUGGUGUUAAUUUAUAAAAUUCAAGAAUUUAGGGAUUGUUAAUGAAUUAUAUGUCGGUUAGCUAUGGAAAUUAGAUGAAGAUGUGAUUAAGUUAAUUUUGAUGUUAAUGACUGAGUAUUACAAUUGCCAAUUGUUGAGGGUUAAAUGUAUAAAUAUGAUUUUAUGAUAAAAUGUUUAAAUUGAAUUAUUGUGAUUUUGAGUUAGUUAUUGAAUUAGAUUAUCAUAUGUAGAUCAAGUAACAAGUAAAACAGUCGUUAACCGAGUGAAGGAGAAAGUUUUCGAUUAAUCAACCUCAAUUACCGAAAGUUAUCGUAAAUUUCGUAAGUCCGUAGUCUUUGGACUCGAACUUUGUUUACUUAUUUUAAUUACCCUAAUUGUGAUUAUUAUUUAAUUAUGUUUCUAUAUAUAUAUAUGUAAUUGAAUAAUUUUUAUUGAAUGGAUAUUUGAUGAGAUUAUAUAUGUGUAUGAUUAUGAAAUAGAUCAAUGAGUUAUUAUUAGCUAUUUGAGAUAAAUAGUUGAAUUAUGAAUGGUGGAAAUGUGAAUUUGCAAAGGAGUGAUUGAUAUCGUCGGUUUAUCCGACUAGCGCCGAGCGCAAAUCUUCGUUGGUAUAUCCAACUAAUGCUGGGCACAUAUCUGAUAUCGUCGGUUUAUCCGACUAACGGUAUGCACAAAUCUUUGUUGGUAUAUCAAACUAGUGCUGGACACAUGUUUGAUAUCGUCAGUUUAUCCGACUAGUGAUGGGCGCAAAUCUUCGUUGGUAUAUCUAACUAGUGCUGGGCACAAAUCAUUGUCAGUUUAUUCAACUAGUGCUGGGCACACAUUUGACAUCGUCGGUUUAUUUGACUAGCGCUGGACACAAAACUUUGUUAUGGUUUAUCCACUAGGCCCCGGGUAUCAUUACCAAAUUAAUUCAUACUGGUAAAUGAAGGUUAUUAUGAAAAGGUUAUGUAUGCUCAUGUUGAACUCAAUGAUAGAACAAAUGGAAUGAAUAUUGCAUGAUGUGCUUUAUAUAGUUACGAUUAUAGAGUACAAUAGUAGUUCUUGAAUUAAUAAAUGAAAUUAGUAUUUGAUCAUUAUUCUGUGUGCAUGUUAGGUGCCUAUUUUGACUAACGACUCAGCAUCCCGCAUCAAUCCCAAACUCAAGUUGGUGAUGUUUACUUUUGUGUCUUGGCAUGCACUUAGGAUGCCAAUGUUUUGAGUGAUGAACCUUUGAUUUUAGUUAAUUUCUAGUGAAAGUUACUUGUGUGGAAUGCUGUUUUCUAAGCUUGUGAAUGAUGUGUUAACUUAGAUAAAUACUUGAAUAUAGUUGCCUUGGGAUAAUAAUGUAAAUGUUAUGAUGGUUAUACUUUUGAAGUGGUUGAUUUGAUAUAUGUGCAAUUUAGGUGGUUAAGCAUAAUCAUUAAUCUAGGCUUAGUUAUCAUUAUUGAAAUGGUAUUAUAAAUGAACGUUUAUCUAUAUUUGGUCAUUUGGUAGAUACUUGAGUGUGAAUGAUAGGGUUGAGUUAUGCAUGUACUUAACUUCCUUAAUUGAUUGUUUUAAACCUGUUUGAGGUGCCUUUGAAUGGCAUAUUGGUUAGGCUUAGGAUGGAGGUUAUUUUGGCAUGAAAUUGAUGUUUUAAAUGUGUAUUGAAAUAUAGGAUUUGAUCUAAUUAAGGUAUAUCUUUUUGUGAAAGAAAUAAGGUAUGGAAUUGCUUGUUUAAAGGGCUAAUCAUGUUGCACACGGCUUGUGACAUAGGAUGUCACACAGCCGUGUACCAUUUAAAGAUAUAGGCGCAAGUUCCACACUAGCUGGGACACGACCGUGUGGCCCAAGUCAGUGAAUUACGUGGCCUAGUACACGGUUUGUGACAUGGGCGUGCGACUCAAGCCAGUGAGUUACACGGUUUGGGAACACGACCGUGUGUAAUAGCCACACGGGCCUGUGUGUCGAUCAAACGACCAUGUGUUAGGCAACACGGGCUGGCCUAUGUCACACAGCCUGGCCACACGACCGUGUGACCCCCUAUUUUUAAAAUUUUUUUAUUUUUUUAAAACUUUCUAACUUGUUUCAAUCUGGUCCCUGAAUGUUCCAAACAUAUUUUUCUGAGGACGUAUGUUUAAAUUAGGAAUUUGUAACUAUGUUUUCGCCAUGAUUAAAUUUUAGCUUGAUUGUUGUGUAUUGAACUAAUGGUAAAAGGUUCUUAAGUUGAUAUUUACAAUAAUUUGUUUGGUAACAUUCCGUAACUCUAAUUCGGUGAUGGAUACGGGUUAAGGGCGUUACAGAUGAUGCGUAAAAAAUGUUAUAUAUAUGUGUGAGGAGGAUUAUUCUGAAGGUAGAAUUCUUUUCAUUUUUGUUUUAUUUUCUUCUCUUCUACAACAUCUUCUUUGGUUGCUCCAAAGAAGAGAAAGUUGAGGAAAAAUCUGUAUGAGGCAAUAAACAUAAGAUUCGAGUUAGAAAAGUAGAGAAUCCAGUCAACUACUGCUAGGACGAAUAAGGCUCUGGCAUUUGGAAAAGCUAAGGUGGUAAGGACGAAGGAUAGUAGGUGAGUUUUUGUACUCCACCUUUGGGUAUUUGCUGGUUGUUGUGCUGCUUGUAUGGUUUGUUUAUAUGUCUACUCUGAGUUCUAUAGUUACAUAUGAUUACGGUGAAUAAGAAAGUCAUGCAUACAUAAGGCUGUGUGAAUACAUGAAUGAUUGCAAGUAUAAUCUUUGAAUUGUCUAAUAAAACUGUGUAUAGAGGUAUUGAUAUAUGGUGUAAUCCUUGUUAUAAUACCGUAUGGAAUGUUAUGUGUGAAAUGUAUAUUAUAAAAAUACGGAGUAUGAAAAGAGUUAUUUUGACGGGCUAGAUGAAGAUAGUAAAAAUUGGCAUAAUGGAGGAAUGGACGAAUUGAAAGGAGACUGGUUCUGGGAAACUCUCGAACAUGUUAGGAAGUGGCACUAGUGUGGGCCACUUAUUCUGUUCUACGAUACAGAUCAGAAUGUCUCUUAUGUCCUACAUCUAACAGUUCUGUCACUCCGAUAUCGGCAUAUCCAUGAAGUCCGUCUUCCAUGACGUGUUUGCUUUCCCUUUCCACUUUGUGGGCCUCUGAAUGUUGCUCCUUUGUUUAGUUUGGAGCUCCUUCUCGUGAUUUUGCUUUCCCUGGAGCUCAAUGAAUUGAUCCUAUAAGUUAUUCACAAUUACACUUCUAGUGGGUGUUGUAAACGACUUGAUAUGUGACAUGAAGACAUCGACUUAGCGAGAUAAGACAAUAAUUAGAUACGGGAAAUACAUACUCUAUUUCCGAUGUCGUAUGCACUUGAGCAUCUCCUCGUAUAUCUAGUGGCUCUGCAAAUUUCAUCUCUCUGCAAAAUUGAGUAAAGCAUAACCACUUGAUAGGUGGUAACAUCAAGGGUACUAUGGGUCGGUGAAAGGCAAGUGCAAAUAAAUUGCAUCCACAUCUUGGCCAUCAAGAACAUGAUGGUCGUGUUAAACUUCAAUGGCACCUCAGAGUUAGCUUGGCAACCCACUUGUCAUGGCCCUCGAUUUAGCAUUUUAUAUUACCCUCCAAGUCAAAGUCCUCAAAUGUAAGUCAAAGGUCUCUAAAAAGUCAUGGGUAUAAUAUAGGGUGUUGUAGAAUCGACAAAUAUCUCAAGGUGCAAUUGACACUUCUUUGCCCCGGGCAGUCACGUGGGUGAUUAUCUCACCUUUCUACUUCUGAUUUUCUCUAUCUUUUAAGGAGGCAUAAAAUUUAUAUACAAUAGCAUUAACCGUCGGUUUGGUUGGGGUAGAGUAAAAAUUAUUCCAACGAUAGGAUCGAACGAAAUCCCAAAUCUUGUCGUAAGCAGACAUAGUGGGAUUGCACACACGUUCUUGUAUAAAUGAUCAUCCACUCAUUUGAAGGAAGAACCGCUUAACUUUCAUAUUAUGGAAGUGAUUGGCCUUGGGGUUACUCGAUGCUUGAGUGGAAGGUCAUUGUUUUCUUGGUGCUAUUUUCAAAUUACAGUGAAAUAACAACUAACCCAAAUAAAAUAAAUGAUAAAGAACAAGUUUAGAACACGAUACCUUAGACGGUUGUCAACUAGCCUUGGUUCCUGAUCGAUGUAGAAUGGACCAAAAUGAAAAAUAAAAGAUAAAAUGAAAAGAUAAAAUAAACACUUACUUAGGAUAAUCGGUGGUUAAGAAUGCGAAAGAUCGAAACUCGGAAGCGGGGAAAAUGUGCGGUGGCUCCAGAGAAAUAUUUUUUUUUCUCUUUUGGGUGGUUUAGAUCGUGUGUUCUUAUGCCUAAAAACGGUGGUUAUGAAUAGAAUUGCAACAGGCUUUAUGCAUGAAAUGACCCAAUUUCAACUGAAAAUAUAGGCCUGUCACGCCACAGCUUGUGCGUGGCGUGACACAAUGCCUUAAUUUUCUUAUUUUGUAUUUGAAGUCCUCCUGUCGCGCCUUAGAUUGUGUGUAGUUCAACAAAACCCUUUAACAUCAGGUACCCUUGCUUCAAAAUGCUUGUGUCGUGAUACAGCCUAUGUAUGGCGCAACACAACAUUGUUUCCAACACUUUGGGGUGUGUUGAUGUCCUCCAAUCUUCCAUUUUAGACCCUAUUUAGCUUUCUUUCGUCUCGUUAUGUCUGAAAACUUGAUUUCUACAGAUCUUAACAUGUGAUUACAUCCUAAUCAUCUUAAAUUUUUACUAUAAGCUAGAUAUUGAGACUAAUUUACAGAAUUAUAUAACUUUAUUAAAGUUCAAUGGUUAAUUUUAUGUCAUGCUACCGAACGUGUCUAAUAAGUUUUUAAAUUUACCAUCGACUUCAAUUGUCGUUCAUGACCGUCUUGACUCUUCCAAUUACUUUCGUUUUCUUUUGGAUCUCACUAUUUGUCUCGUUCUCGUGCCUUCUGAGUACCUACUUUUGUACCUUUUGCUAUUUUUUAGUUAAACUUACCGUAUUGGGCAUUUGUUCAACAUUCACCUUGAUUGGUUCUUGGUGCUCGAUUUCUUUCUCCUUAUUCAUAGGCUUGUUGACUUCUUUUGUGACUUUCUCUUCUUCAUAGCCGGGUUUGGUUAGCGUAUUCAAUUCCUCUCCAACUUGUACUGUGAUUACCUUUACGUGUUCCUGCCCAUCUCUCUAAGGAUUAUUCUCUAUGUUACUAGGAAGGCUCUGGCCAUUUUAUUUUUCAAACAUCAUCAUUAAUUGGCUCAUUUCAUCGUAGAAGUUGUCCAUUCGGGAUUCGAAUCGUCUGCAUGUUGCUUGAACUUAUCAAAUAUUCGUCUUCAUUGUGUGUAUCUAAUUCUCUAAUCGAUCGAAUCUUUGACUGCAUAUACACUGUCCAUAGCUCAUUGUUGCACUGGUGAAGGUUGAUAAGGAUGAUUCAAUCGAGUUUGGGCCUGGUUUGUGCCUCCUUGGUUACGUCCACACUUGAGGUUCAGAUGAUCUCUCCAACUGGGAUUGUAUGUCUUUGAAUAAGGGUUUCGACCUUUGUUGCCUAUAUAGCUCAUGUCCUCUAGUUGGUUUUCUAAAUGUGGCUCCACUCUCAUCAGCUUGACGGGUGUCUCCAAACGGUUAAGUUUUUCAAGAAUUUGUUGGAAUCGAACAUCAUCACCCUCUUUCUUCACAGCUUUUACCAUUGGUGACUUUAAUUGGUACAUGAAACUCUCGUUAAGCCACAUGUACGAAUUCAUAGCCAUGUCUUCUAUAAUUUUGUAGGUUUGUUCAUAUGUGUGAAACAUGAUAGAUCCGCCAAAUGCUCCAGCAAGGCUAUACGUCACACCGUUGUAAAAUAUUUAUAUCUAGAGCCAUGCUUGCAAUCUAUGGUGUAAUAGUCUGUUUUCAGUGAUGUCAAAAAAAGUGGUUUCAGUACCACAAUUUCAGAUAGUGAGUUAAUUUUACAAUUUAUUUAAAGCAUAUUUAGUCAUAUGAAAGUUAUAAAAAAAUUUGGUUGGGAAAUUUUAGCAUUUAGAUAGUUAAUUAAGGAAAAUGGAUUAAAUUGUGAAAGUUGUAAAAGUUAGUUGUAUUAUUUAAAGGAGUUUAUUAGUUAUGGAAAUGAAAUCAUAUGAACCUAAAUGGCAAUUAGACACAUUUGAUUAUGAGUGGACAGUGGUGACUUUGGUUUUAAGGAAAUUUAAUUAAAUUUUAAAUGUUAGUUUAGUAAUAAGACAAAUAAGUGGAAUUAAAACAAAAGAAAAAGAAACAUCAUCAUCUUUCUUGAGCUUGGGACUGAUUAGAGGAAGAAUAAAUUUUAGCUUGUUAAGGGGGGAGUUUCUGUUGAUGAGAAACUUGCAUGUAAGGGAAAUUGACCGCCAUUUUUGUUAAUUUUUUUAUUUUUAUGAUUGUUGAAGCUUAACCCUUGCAACCCAUAUGUCAUUUUGUAGAAUUGUGAAGAGUUUGUGAAUUUACCAUGAAUGAAUUUAAGUGUUUUGUUGUUUGUGAAUGAAUUUAUAGGUUUGAGGAUGGUUUAAGAUGGUUUUGUAAUGUAGUUGUGAUUCGGUUUUGAAGCUAAGGGCUUAAUUGAUUUAAUGUCUAAAUUUUAAGGGUUUCUAGCUAAUAUCUAGUUAGUUAGGGACUAUAGAAGAUUCGGUACAAGCCUUUCUAAUUCAAUUUGUUUAAAUUUAAAAGUUAAAAAAAGGAAUACUUUGCAAAUAAUGUAAAAUUUUGGGGUUAAUUGCAUAAAAUGCUCUUAAUCAAGGAAUUGUAGAAUUUUUGUGCUAAUAAAUUUUUUUAAGGUGUUUAACUGAAUUGAUUGAGUUAAGUUAUUAUAUUUAGAUUAAGGAACGAAUGGUUCUAUAGAUAUACGCGGAAAAGGAAAAACGACUAAGUAGACGUUGUUGGAUACUAGUUGUCACUGCAUAAGUAAGUUUGUACUAUUACUCCUAUGUUUUAUAAUAAUUUCUACUCUUAAUAAAUUUUAUUAUAUUUAGAUUUAUUGUUAGUAUUAUCUACUGAAUGACUAGAAAAUAAAGUGUAAUUGAAUAUGGUGAGUACGUGAAGAAAUUAUUUGUCAGGCCUUGAGCCGAUGAUUUUUUUAGUAGGUUAUGAGCCAGUGAUUAUUUAGCAAGCUAUCAGUCGUUGAUUAUUUAGCAGGCUAUGAGCUGGUGUUUAUUUAGCAAGCUUUGAGCCGGUGAUUAUUUAGCAGGCCUUGAGCUGGUAAUUAUUUCAGCAAGCUUUGAGCUGGUGAAUUAUUAGCAAGUAUUGUGUACCAGUGAUACAGGCCGUAAUGAUGGCUUGAGAUCCUGCAUGUGUUGCAGAUACUCUAACGCUUGUGUGAGCAACAUCGUGAGCUGGUUAAAAUAAAUUCGAAUUAGUAUUAUUUUUUUCUGAUUAUUUGAAAUGAUAUACUAAUAUCAUGAUGAUUUGCUUUAUGAUUAUUUAUCAUAUGGUAUCUUAAUGAUUUGGAUUAUCCAGGUCUAAGUGUUUCGGGAAGUUAAAAUAAUGGUAUAUUAGAAACAAUUUUUAGUUACAUGCUUUGUAUGUUUUAUAAAUAAGUAAAAGGUAUGUGAUGUUUGUUUUAUGAACUUAUUAAGCUAUUUGAAAGCUUACUUUGUUUGGUUGUACGUUCUUGUAGGUUGUCGGACUUUUGCUGUUGAUUGGAAGUUGUUGGAGAUCACACUAUCCAGCAUCUUAUUCGAUAGUUGUUUAUAAAUUUUGGCCUGGUUCUAAAUGGCAUGUAUAUAGGAUGAUAUUUUGUUAAGGUUGCGGAUGUUUUGGUAUUUUGAAUCUAAAUGUCUUUAUGUGUAAGUUGAUAUUUGUUUUGGUGAAAGUGACCUUUUGAUAAUAUAUGCUAAUAGUCAUGAUUGGUAAUGGUAUUUUGGUUGAUAUAUGAGGUUAAGCCUGUUGUUAAUGGUGUUGAUUUUUGAAAUCUAAAUGGAUAAAAUGAAUGGAUUUGAGUACCUUGUAUGCAAAUUAAUUUGGUAUGAAAUAUGACCUUUGGUAUGGUAAAUGAAUUGUGGUGUCAUUGAGGGCACAUUGGUUAGAUAAUUAGGUUGAAUGUGUUGACAUGCAUUAAGUUAAAUUUAUUAUGUUUUGGAAGGUUAUAAUCAGGUAAAAGAGUAGUUUUUAAAGAAAAUGAUUAUGCCAUGAAAUAAGCUUUUAAAGUUAAGAUUUUACCAUUUGAAACAUUGGUAUCAAUACUUUGGCGUUUGGUAUUGAUGCCUACCAUGAAUAAAAGUUUUGGGUAAAACAAAUUGUCAAAAUGGUACCGAUUUUUAAUUAAGUAUUGAUAAUUGGUUAUAAAAUAUCGAUACAAUAAAUUAACUAUAGAUACUUAUGCUUUUGACAAAAAAUUGUAUAACGAUUUAGUACCGAAUUUCAAAAAGGUAUCGUUUUGGUAUUGAUACCAAUUCCAAAUGUUUACAAACUUCUUAAAUAUUUCAAAUUUUGUUUUAUUUAGUAUUUGAAAUUCAUAUUUAAGUUAUUUAAUCCCAAUUUAAGGUAUAAAUAUGUAUGUUUGCUAUGUUUAAUGAAUAAUUUGAUUGGUUAAAUUUAAAGUAAACAAUAGGAAGUUUAUAGUUGUUAAUUGUUUUGUUCUUUGCUAUGACAUUUUGUAACUCUAAUCUAACGAUGGAGGCAGGUUAUGGGAGUUACACAUGGUAUAGGUAGUUCCUUAGUAUUGUCUUCAAAUGCUCCCAUGCCUCGUAUAAAGAUUCAACUUCAUAUUGUUUAAAAAAUUUUAUUUCCCGUCAAAGCUGAAUGGUUUGACUAAUUGGGAAAAUUUUAUGAAGAAAAUUUUUCGCUAGAUCAUUCCACGUAGUGAUGGAACCUAGUUCUAAUGAGUCUAACCAAUCAACAGCAUUAUCAAAUAAUGGGAGCAAGAAUAACUGAAAAUGUAUAGCAUCACCGAAUACUUCGUUUUAUUUGAAGGUGUUGCAUAGUUGAAGAAAUCACUUCAAGUGUUGGUCCAAGUCUUUAAUCAUGUUUCCGUUAAACUGCAGUGUGUUUUGAAUCAUCUAGAUCGUGGCCAUCUUUAUCUCAAAAUUAUUGGCCUUAACCAAUGGUCGCUCAAUGUUUCCUCGCAUUGCGUCUACGGUAGGUAGUGCGUAUUCGCACAAUGUCCGCUAAGCCAUUGGGAUCUCUUCCUAAUUAUGUCCUUAUUUUUUUCAUGGCUCCUCAAAUAACGGGUUUUCUCGAGGCAAAUUUAUUAUCAUGGGUGGAUCGUUAUCCAUUAUUUGACUGUUACGCCUAAGUAUUCGCUCCAGAUCUAGGUAUAGUUCAAUUCGAGUGCUGGAGUUUCAGGUUAUACACGACUUGAAACAAAAAUAAAAAUAAAUAAACAAAAAUAAAAAUCGUAUCUAUAGGUCCUAAUGUUCCUACUUAUCUUAUUAAUUGUAAAAAAAAUUAUUUUCAAAAUUUAUUACCGAAACCUCCACGGUAAUUACGCCAACAACUUGAUCGCCUAUAAACGAGUUAAAUAAUACACAAAAAUUAUAACAGUUAAUAACGACAUUGUCUGCAAGUACACGAGUCAAAUUGUAAUAUAUAUUGUACAACGAAAUAUUUGGAAGUAUUCCGAGGAUCAUACCCAAGGGAGGAUGGAAUAAAUAAUGAAAUACUUUUUACAAUACUAAUUCUAUAUAGGAAUAGUUCAUUCUUAUAUUACGAUGGAUCAUAAAAUAGAUUAAGAGGAAUAAAAAUAAAUAAAAUAAAAUAAACAAACGAAAUAAAUUAAUAGACCAAUCAUGAAGAUGAACUCGCUUCAGGGUUUACAACUAAUUUUGGAUUAGGGGUCUAGAGUGAUUAAUCAUCGAUCAAGAAAUUAUUAGCUCCCGGCUCUAAUUAACUUAAUCGAUUAGUUGGUACUCGCUUAUCGUCCGACCUCAUUUUCUCAACUAGGAUAAAUUUUGAUUUACUCUGUUCGACUUAUCUUCUGAUAUUAUCUAGCCUAUGAUAACUUAUUAGGUUUGUCAAGCCUAACAGUUUAAGAACACAUAAUUUAUACCAACUAACCCAUCUCGAGAAAUCUCAAAUCCUCCGUUUGUCACAUCUCAAAAUCAGGUUAGUAGAUCCAAGUUAGUAAAUCAGAAAUCGUAUUUAGGUUAGAUAAUGAAAUUAAAUAAGAAUAAUUAAAUAAAAUAUAAAAAUAAAAAGAAUUAAAAAUUUAAGGUUAAGAAAUUAAUAUUGAGUGUUCAGGAAUUAAUUUAGUUAAAAAUAAUUUUAAAAACAAGAUCGGAUUUAAAAAUAAUUUUAAAAUUGGCUUCAAUUGAAAAAUAAUGACAAAAUUGGAAAAAUGGAGAAAAAUGUAGUUAGUCAAAGGGGAAAAUGCCCAAUUUUUAAAAUCUGUUGGUUCUUAAACCACCCACCGUCUCCUUCCUCCCAUUUAUCAUCUCUUUCAAAAAAUUUGCCAAGCACAAAUUAAAGCUUUCAAAACACAAAAUCUCCUUUCAAUUUUAAAGAAUACUUAGGUUUUCAAACUCGAAUUAGCUUCGUAGCUCAUUGAUUUUGUAAAAUUAAGGUAACAUUUUGACUUUUCAUGAUUAAACUAAGUGUGUUAGCUUUUUAAAUUAAGUUUUAAUCGAUUAAAUCAAUAUUUCAAUAGAUCCUUUUAUUUUAAGUUGAUUUCAAGCUUGAAAACGGUGGAUCUCAUUUUAUUGUGUUAAAGUAUUGUUUCAAAGCUAUUUUAAACAUAUUUUGAUCCUAUUAAAAGAUUUUUAAACUCAAUUUAACAAGUCUUUAAGUAUUUUUGAAAUAUUUGAAUUAUCUCUUUACUUUAAAGUUGAUUUGGCUUGAUUUUUUCGGAAAAAUGAGAUCCACGUAAUUGGACAAAGUUGAAGGUUUAAAUAUGUAAUUAAAUGAUUCUUAGGAAUAUUAGGAUCAAAAUUAAGGUUUAGAAAUAAGAUUUGAGUGGUGAAUUGUAUUUUCGACAAAACUAGCUAAGUUUUCGGUAUAGAGAUCUAAAGGCUUUGAUCUGUGAUUUUAGAAUAAGUUAAUCUUAUUUGUUGUUGUUUGUAAUGCCUUUGGAUUGUGUUUGAUGUGUAUGUAAAAUUCCAAUUAAUUUGGGAGCCUCUACAAGUAAAGACAAAAGCAAGCAAAAGUUUACUUGAGCUUUGCCAUUGAAGCAAGUUGCUAAGGUGAGUGGUUUGAUGUGCUAUAAUUCAUGUACAAAAUAAUAAAUUAGAGGGGGAUUAGGUGAUCAAAUCAUCUAAUCUAAGUCCUAGGAGUAAGUGUUCUUACAUGAGCUUUGUUAUUUUGCAAAUAAGCUUACAUGUGUUGGGAUAUGUUUAAGUGUGUGAUAUGAAUAUAUGUGUUGAAUAUAUGUCUGAAUAUGCUUUGUGAAAAACUAGUUUUAUGCAUGCACAUCUAAUAUGGAAGUCUAUUUGGCUUAUUGAGCAAUGUGUUUUCACUUGGAGUGCAUUAUAUGAAUGUGAUAAGUGAUAUGAACUUGAUAAGUGAAAGUGUGCAUACACUCAAAAAUAAGUGUGUAUAAGUGAAUAUGUAACGCCCCAGAAUUUUUAUUUUUGUUCUUGUGAAGAUGUGACAAAACUAUGUAUCUGCUUCAGUGGUUAAGUGUUCUGGGUGUGUGAGAGGUCCCAAAUAUAAGCCAGGACUUGGGAAAAUUUUGGUAUUUUUAUGAAUAAGCUCUAUCUUUGGUCAGUAGGCUUUUAAGUAAAAGUUGGCAAAUAAUUAAUAAAAUGGGCUUGCUGGUCUGGUGGAUAAAUGGAAUGUUUGUGUGAAGGAGGUCCUGUGUUUAAUUCUCUACGAUGGUGUGAAGACAGUAUUUUUGCUCCAACUUCGGCUAAGAGUUGUGUUGGGGCAAAAUUCCGAUUAGUUGUGUUUUAGUGGGUUAAUAGGGAGUGAUUUUAGGAGAUAAUGGGGGAGAGGUUAUCAUAAAAUAAUCAGAUUAUCUUUUUGUUGCAGAAAAAAAGUAAAGUUUCGGUUUUCUCUCCAAUUACCCAAACUUUUUCUGACAUUUUCUUCUUCUUUUCCCUCCUUUGCCGAUUCUUUCCCUUAGUUGCUGCCAAAAUUUCCAUUAUUUUUCCCCUUCCGUUUCUUUCUUUAUUUUCCAAUUGAUUUGGUUGCUCAUCGUUGGCUGCAUGUGUUCGGUAUGUAACGGUUUUGUCUAUUGUUAAUUAUUCUUGGAUAAUCUCUGAAAGGGGGAUUCCUUUUUGGUGUUUAGGAGUUAAUCAAGGGGUUGGUGGUUUUGAAUCCACUCCGGAUUGUGCAAAGUCGUGGUUACUCAAGCGAGGUAAGGGUUUUGUUAGGUUUUUAGUCGAGUUCCUUCAAAAAAUUGUUGAUUAAAAACGAAUUAAGUGAUUAAUCUGGAGAUUUGUUGGUCGAUUUUUAGGUUCUGGAGGCUUAGGAGUGCUUACGCAUCAGAAACGAUACCAAGUGUGUACCCAAAACGUAGAAAAUGGGAUUUGGAAAAAAGCCAAAACUGCUUGCUGUCGAGAAAUAAGAGAAAUAAGAGAAAAUGAUGUGAAAAAUUGUAGAGAAAGUAAAUAAGGGUGUUAUAAUCUUGGAAAUCAACAUUUUGCACUAAAAUAGUUUUGGACAGCAGCAAUAGUCUAACUUUGAAAAUCAUAUAAAAUAGUGGAAAUUGAGUUAGAGGUUGAAUAAAUUAUGAAAUUAAAUUUUGUUGAGUCUAGUUUUUCAUGGAAGAAAUAGUGUAAGCAAUGAAGGUUUAAGUUAUGAUAUAUAAUGAAUUUUGUGAGACAAGGUCAGAAUUAUUUCGGGUUCCCCUGUUCUGAAUUUGGAAAAUCAUCAAAAAUUGUAAAAAAAUCAUUAGGGGCUUAAAUUUAUAUGUUUAAAUCCUUAACGAGUUUAUUUUCAAGAGAAAUAAACAGAAACAUCAUCCGAAUUUCGUACUAAGAGAUAAAUAAUUUUUAGUAAGGAAAAUUUGAAGCUAUCAAACAGCAGAAUCAGGAUAGAUUUGAAGAUUUUACUGUACUUAUUUGAUAAACUAUAAAAUCUAAAAAAUUUAUGGUAGAAACGUAUUUGAGUCUAGUUUCGAAAACAUCAAGCGGAUCUUAAUUUGGAAUUCUGUAGCUCAGGAUAUAAAUAAUUUAGGGACAAUGACUCAAGUAGACAGCUUUGAAUGAACAUAAAAGUAAAUAAUGAAAACAUAUAUAAAUAUUUAAGUAGCAUGGGUUACAUUAAAAAUGGAUCACAUGGCCAAUGCCAAUUUGGGCCGAGUGGGCCACACGGCAUACACGAGCUUGUGGGCCCAUUUUUACCGAAAUGUUUGUAAGGUUGCACGGGUCGCCUAAGUUGACUGUGAACCUACUGUAAGGUCGGUAACCACUACUUAGACCCCUAAAUGUGUCAAAUUGACUGAAUGAUAUUUGUACUAAGCAUGUUAAUAUCUGAACUAAAUAUAUGUACUAAAACUGCGUAAUAGCAUAUCAUCCAUGGUAUGUUGCAUUAUAUUGGGUUGGGGGUUGUUAUUCGGAGGAAGUGUACUGAAAGGCUUUAAGCCUAAUUUAUUGGAAGCUCAGCUGCAAACUACUAUUUUGUGCCGCAUUCGGUACUACUUAGAGCGUAGGGAUGGGUGGGUUGAUUAUAUCCCCACAUGGAGUGUAGGGUUGGACGGAGAUGGUGUGUAGAGGCUGGUUGGGUAGGAUUUUGCUAUUGCAUAGCUAUUACUGCUACUAAUAUUAUGAUAGGAUAAGACCCUACUGCAUUUUUUUUGACACUGUACUGAGAUGGGCUAAGGCCCAAACUGUCACUGAUACUGAAAAGGGCUUAGGCCUUAGACAAUUCAACUGUGCACUGUGAAUACUGAUUGUUUAUUUGUUUCUGCGAGACUACACAUUGAGUUUACGUAAACUCACUCUUUUUGUUUAAUGUGCACAAGUAAUCCUCAGACUUAGACGGAUCUGUGCGACGGAGGACUCGGUGGUGACCACUAAAAUUUUUGGACUUCAUGGUUUUUAAUUUAUGUUUUAUGAUUUAAUUAUUAUUGAUUAUUUGGGUUGUAAUUUAAGGACCCUCAGGGACUUUGGUUUUAAAUUUUGGGUUUUAUUUAUUUAUUUUACUUUAUGGAUGUAUACUUGCUGGUCGUAGGAAAUUCAGUUUUCAAAAAGUUAAAGUAGUUUCUAAAUGCAUGACCACUUAGACUGUUUUAUUAAAGCUUCCACAACGAGGGAUGUUUCAAAAAAAAUGUUUUAAAUAAAUAAAGAUGACUUUCUAAGUUCUAACAGAUUUUUACUAAAGAUAAUAACAUGGAAUGUUUUCAACGUAACAACGAGGUUUCAAAAACACUAUCAUGUGACAUUGCUAGAUACGGCCAUAACGUCUAGGCUGGGUUUGGGGGUUACAAAAUAUAUUGGCAUUGUGACCUUUUGAAACCAUUGACAUGUCAUAAGAUUAUGAGUACUCACCACUUAUUGAUAUUGUUUGGGUAUUGAGGUUGAAGAUUGUGUUGGAGAAAUAAGGGAAUGUGAGCUUAGCUCCAUUCAAAAAGAUAAUUUAGAGAGUGUUAGCUUUAUGCUACACUUAAAGAAGAUAGUAAUGGACUCUAUGAGUCAAUUGGUGUAUUUGGAGAUCCACUUAUCCAAUGCAUUAUGUUAUAUGCAUGCUUCUUAGUCACAGUCGUGCCAAUAUAUCAAUGUGAAUGCUAUGAGGUAUGCUAGAUAACUUGCCAUGAUUGAUUGAGAUAGUAUGCCUUCUUUUAAAAACGGAUAAUGUGUUUAUUUAUAGUAAGCAUUGAGCACUCACUGAGCUUGAAAAAGCUCAAACUCUUUAUAAACAAUUUUCAAAAAAAUAUCUUGAGAAGAGGAGGAGGAGUGAGCCUUCCAAGUGAUCCAAAGCAAGGCAAUGGUUUCAGUAUGCUUGAUGUGUUUCCACUCAAUAAGGAAGGAAAUGAGCGGCUGAUCUAAAGGGUUUUAGUUUUUGGAACUAUUAAUAUUGGUUUGGAUGGAUGUUUUUAAUGGAUGGUUUGUGAAGGCGCAUUGUUGGUUGAUUUGGUAAGGUGUUGUGUACUUGUUAUUAGCUAACAUGUAAAAUGCAGGUGGUUUGGCUUGUUGAGCAUUAAGGUAAGUCCAAAAUGAUCUUUUGGUAUGUUUUGUACCAAUUAUGCACCUUAAAUCGCCUUAUAUGCAAAUUAGGUAUGUUGAGUAAAUUAAAUUGAGACUUUAGAAAAGCAUGCUAGCAUAGGUUUUUUUUUUAGAUGCCAAAGCAUGUUAAUGUAUGAUCUUAUGUAUUUGAACAUGAUUUAUGUGUAUUAUGUAUGCUAUAUGAUAUGUUAGAAUAGGGAAAUGGCAUGAAACUUCGAAUUGGUAUGUGCAUUUGAGUACCAAAGUGUUAUAUGUAAGUGCUGAAAUUUUUCUACAAAUUUUUGGGUCGGUAUCGCGAUGAGCCCUAUAGGAUAUCGCGAUACCAGAUGAUGUCGCGACAUGAAAAUCGUGUGGUCGCGACAAGACUUCCAAUGUGUUCACGGCAUGUUUUGUAACCAUUACAAAUUACUUUUGAUUUUUAUACAAUAAAAUUGGAGGCCUUAAACAACACAAAAUGUUUUGAAAAUUUAUAUGACUUGGUUAUAAACAUUGAAUUCCAAAAUGUUAAUUUCAAUUUCUUAAAGUGGUUUAUCUGGAUAUUUUGUAAGAUUACAUUUGAGUCCUUAAAUUUCGUUUUAAGCUAAAAUUUUUACAAAUGGUUUAAAAUAGAAUGCCCAAGACACUAAAUGAACUAAAUUUCAUGAACUACGAGUUUUGCUUUUAAUGUGUAAAAUGAUGAUUUUACCUCUGUUUAUAUUUUGUUGUAUUAUGUUAGACAAAGCAUGAUUUAGGCUUGUUUGAUUAAAACUACUUGUUUAAGCAUGUUUUUAUUUGGUGUGAUGCUUGGUUUGUAAUGUGUCUGGAUGACCGGUAAGGAGAGUCACAUAAGUGGCUAAUGUGAUGUUCCAAAUUCGAGUCGAUCCGUCUCAGUUGGGUUGGGGGUGCUAGACCAUUAGUCACAUUCUCAUCCACUUAUUAAUCUCCUCUAAAGGAUUUAGUCACUCAUGUUAUUCAUAAUCUUAACUUCGAAUGAAUAAACUACGUAAGAAACAUGAUCGAUUCAAAAUAGAAAAGAGAUGUGAAUAAUUGUAGAUUGAGUACCGAAUGGGAAACAGAGUAGUAAAUCUCUCAAUUGGAAUAACGAAAUAAAACAAAUGCAACAGAAAAUAUAAUCUGAAUACUUUAAUUAAAUAAACAAGUCCUUAAAUUAAAACUAAUUCAAGAAGAAAAAUAAGAAAGUAUUUAAAAACCCGAAAAGAAAAAUAACUAAACCUAAUUUUAAACUAUGAGGGUUUUUUAAGGCGUUUGAGACAACUUGAUUACAUUCAACCCCUAAUGUCUUAUUUAUAGAGGUCCUGGCAGCCUAAAUUAGGUCUUCAGCACAUCCUAAGUCUUUGUAUAAGUUUGAUUUCACGGAUAAAAAUAAUCCCGAAAUACUUGGGCAGCACAUCGGCCUUGUGUCGCGUGACAUGACACCUAAAUACUGCCUUGUGUCGUUUCUUUGAUGCUUUGAUGUCCCGGGAACCUUAUGCAUCACUCGACCUUUGAUUUCACGUCAAUUGGGCCUUUAUAUAUCCAUCCUACACAUUCAAUUAAACCAAUUAGCACAACUUAAGGCCCGUGUCAGUCUAUUGGGUCAAAACACCUACAAAAUGUGUUAAAAACACUUAUUUUUAUUAAAUUUUUAUCCUAAGGCCUAAAUACUGAAAACUAAAUUAAAAUCCUAAAUUUCUUAGAAAAUAAGAUCCUUAAGUGUGGAAUUGACCCAAAUUAAAUACUACAUUUGACAGCAGGUCACUUGUAGAACCUCGUAAAAUGUGAUUAAUUAGUGGAAGCAUGCAAGAACGAGUAAUGAUUAGAGAUAAUCCUGAUUGGGAUUUGGACGUGGGUUAUUUAUAAAUAGGAUAAUGUGAUAAUAGAGAUAAGAUUUCUGAUUCAUCUUCUCCACUAAACUUUGUUAUCAUCAAAGAAACUAGGAGAGUUCUUCUUUGCUAACAAAGGUGUUAACUGUAAAAGCUUAGGAGAACUUUUGUGCUUGUUGUUUGCUGGUAAAUUUUUAAACCUUCCUUUAAGCUUUACUAGAUAGAUAAAAACUAAUUUAAGAAAGGAUUGGUAGGAAUUUCUUUGAAUAUUGGGUAUGAUGGAAAUUUUUACACAAAAAUUGUUUGCAUGUCUAUAGAUUCUUGCUAAAUCAUAAAGUUUUAGUCAUUUUCGAUGAUUAAAGAAGUUGUUUUAUUGUUUUGGCCAAAGAAAUGAGAGAAGGUCCUAAUAACAAAGGGAAAAAACCAGUAGAAUAGAUAAAGCUCUAAGGAAAGUAUUCUGGUGAGUUCCUUUAUACCUUGUGUCUGGUAUUUGUGCUAAUUCAUUUACUCCUAAAUAUUGAACAGUUAGGUAAGUGACUUUGUCAAUUGUAUUUGGUGUUCAUGUCUGAAAAAACCCAAUAAAAGAGUUAGUGCAUACAUGGCUAAAUACGGGUAAACAAACCCGGAAAACCUAGUAUAUACACAGUAGGAGUACUCCUUCCUUGGUCCACAAGCUUUGCAUCUAGAUAGGUAUAAUGAGGUAUCAGUGGGAUAUUGUAUAUUAUGAUACAAAUAAUACAGGAGAAAAUGUUUUGCCUCCGGGAUGGCAUUUAAAUGCAAACUGUGAUUGGUGAAAACCCAACCUUACGUGAGAACACUUAUGUGUUCAUACAAGCAUUAGAGUUAGGAAGAUACGGAGGUGAUGUUGUUAUAUAGCUCAGUUGAGUAGAUAUGAAGAUACAAGAAAAAUUAGUUCUUCAAGAACUGAGAUCAAAAGCUAGCACAAGGAAGAGGGUACGUGGAAAAAGAGGUGCAUGUGGUGGUGCACGUUGCAUGAAAACAUAAACAGUAAGCAUGUCAGUCAUAAAUGGUAGUCCAUACUAGUGGCGUAUUCGCGGAGCAGAUGUGCUCAUGACUGUCAUAUAUGAGUUUAGAGACCAGUGUUGUUCGCCAAUAAGCUGAUUUGAUUAUGGUAUCAUUCGCCAGUUGGUCUACAUACCAGAGUAAUGUAUCUGCCAACCAUCAUAAACUAGUCGAAUCCCUUUUUCUUAAUGUCUGGUAGUAAUCCUGGUGGGAUUUUUCUUCCUAGGAAUUCACUAAGUUCUUACAAACUUACCCAAUUUCUUCUGUCUUUUAGGUUAAGUGUGGUGAUCGAAGGGAUAUAGCCAGGUAUGUGGCCAUUUGUGUAGUUAACAUGUAUUUGUUGGGGGUAAUAGGUCAAUUGUUGGAAAUCGCCAUUAGGUCAACUGUUGGAAAUCGUCAUUUUAGAAAUUUUAAUUUGUAUUGAAUGUUAUUUUCAACACUUCGAAUGUUGAAUGGAAGCCUUGAUGGCACGUUAUUUAUGACUCAUUGAUGUAAAUUUAAGCAGCCGCCAUAGAUUAAUCUGUGCAUCUUUAAAUCUUUAAAUGUGGCGGGUUGAUAUUCUAAAAUCGUGCUUUCAAAUAAAAGUGGUCUUAACAUAAAUGAAUAUCGUUCUGGUAAAGGGGGUAUCCACCAAAAUAGAUAAUGGUUUUUAUUUCAUAAAAGAGUAGAAGAUGUGUUUUCUAAUUGGGUUAACCUGUGACACUUUAUACCCGGAUCCAACAAUCAAGUCAGGCGUAAGGUGUUACAUCGGAUACAUAGGUACUCAACCACAUCAGUUGCUCGUCCGAGCAAAAUAUAUUCAUGUUAAGUUACUAGUCUAAACUAAACCUUUAUGACACAUUUAAUUGCUUAUUCAAGCUGAAAAUAUUCCUGUCAGACUACCCGUCUGAGCUAAACCUUUAAAAUGGUUACUAAUCCAGGCUAAACCUGUGUCACGUGUAUCUUCGAGUCCGCAACCAAUGUUGGAUCUCGAUAAUCACAUGUAAUCAAUCUGUAUAAGUGUGCACAAUACCCUAUUGACAUGUUAUUGCAUCCUAACCUUUACUAAGUUUACUCGGGUAUUUUUAACACAUGUUUACAUUCCUUGACAAUUUAGUCUAAAUCUCACAUUUAUACCAUUUCACAACCAAACACAUAUAUGAUUACAAUUCAAUUACACAACAACUUAAACACAACUAUACCAUAUGAACUUACCUAAAAAAAAUCAACAAUUGUAACUUCAAGGGCUAUUCAAUAAUUUUGUCUUUUUCCCGAUUACCUUCAGUUUAGUUCAAUUCUGAUCUAUACAAUAAACUGGUUCAAUUUAUUAAAACCAAAGAUUUUAUAACAUCCUAUUAUAUGCAUGAACCAGUUCAAUUUUAUUUUUCAAAUGCCCCCUAAAGUUUUACAUUUUAUUCAAUUUAGUUCCUAAAACUGAAAUAACCAUAAAUUUUAAUUUUGAGCUUCGGUUUCAAAAUCUAUCUCAAUUACAUCCUUUUAAGAACCUCUAUUAUCUAUAAUUACAAAAAUUUUACAUCAAAUAUCUAUUUUUUACACUUUAGUCCUUAUGUUCAAAAACUAUUAAUUAAACAUUACAAUCUAGUUUAUUUUCAAAUCUAAGCUUCAAAUAUAACAAUUUAACACCACUUUCUUCAAGAAAUCAACAAUGGAAACUUUUAAAAACUUUAACAGUUUUGUAAAUUGGUACAUGAGCUAGCUAAAUCAAGCUCUCAUGACCUUAAAACAUAAAAAUUACAAAAAAAAAAUGACUUAAAAUGGCUUGCCAAUUGAGAUCGAAGCUUGAUAUUCUAAAAUGGUUUUCUCCCAUUUACGUUUUGUGUUCAUCCGAUGAAGAAGAAGGAAAUAAGGAUGAUAACAUCCAUUUACUUAACUUUUAUACUUAUAUUAACUUAAUUAAUCAAUAUUUAUUUAAUUAAAACUUAAUUAUAAUUAACGGUUAGUAGAUUCUUAAUACCAUCCACCACUGUUUGACCAUUUAAAAAUGGUUUAAUUACUCAAUUGGUCUUUUGGUCAUUUAAAAAUCUAAAAAGAUAAACUUUUACAAUUUAGUCAUUGUACCUUAAUAAAAUAUCAAUUCGGAAAAAUUACUAGACCAAGCUUUAAUAUAUUUAUAUAUUAGUCUCAUAAAUAUAUUAAUAUUUACAAACUUGGUUUACGAAAAUGGGGUUCCAGAAUCGUCGUUUUCGAUACCACUAAAAGUUGAGUUGUUACAGCUUUAGAUGACUGUGAUCUUGUAAACUAGAUAGAGUAGCAGCAAAUCUUAGUUGGUGGAAUCAAUUUCUAGAUUUUAGUUUCAAACAUUUACCUAUUUUGUUUUUGGACCAAUGCCAACUUCUAAUUUAAAUCAGAGGAUAAGCUUUUCGGGCUGGAAUGCUCUAGAUGCACAACCUUUCCACUUUGAGGUGUCUUGGACUUUAGAUAAUUACUACAAUGUGGUAGUUCAAAGAUUUUAGUAGGAGCAACAGGGGAACUUACCAGAGCGCAUAAAGCAUUUGGGUUGGGGGUUGGAGAUGUGGAAUCGGCAGUGACAAUAGGUUUGUCAAGCAAAGACUAAUUCACUGUAGCAACGUCUAAAUGAAUUGAAUGACUUGUCGAUUAAUGAUUAUGUGUAUGCUAAAAUUAUUGAUGUACAAUUGGGUUUAUGAUUAGAAGUAUAUAGAAAGGAAAUGUUUUGGGAGUAACAUGUGAGGGCUAAUUGAAUUAAGUAAGGGAUAAAAAUAUAGUUUUCUUUCACCGAUUUGCAUUUCAAUAGAGGUGGACUAACAAGUUGCAUUGUUUGGAAUGUGGCCAUGGUGGAGUGAUGGAAGAUAUGGAGGGAAUGUUGCGGAUUGCUUAUAACUAUUUUUCUAUUUUUUUACUUCACAGGGGCGAGGAGACCUGUCAUGUUCACUGUCAGGAGUUCAACGUUUUGUUACGGAUGAGAUGAACAAUGCACUCACAAUAACUUUUGAGUUGAGGGAAAUAGUGAAGGUAGUUAAAAAUAUUCCUCCAACUAAGGCUUUAGGAAUGGAUAGGACGCUCGUGUUAUUUUUUCAAAAAUACUGACACAUAAUAGGAAGAAAGGUUGAGACUUAUUGUUUGGAUAUGUUUAAUAGGUAAAGAUAAAUUAAGGACAUCAAUUGAACUACCUUUGUUUUAAUAUUAAAGGUGUUGGAUCCGACAACUAUAGAAAAGUUGAGGCCAAUCAGCUUAUGUACGACAAUUUAUAAAAUUAUUUCCAAAAUUUUAGUUAAUCGGUGUUAAUUAAUUUCACAUUAUUGUAUUGACAUUGUGUAUAUUGUAUUUGUUCCAGGUAGGCUAAUCUCUGGUAAUGUUCUUGUAGCAUAUGAGAUCUUUCAUGCUUUUAAAAGGAAGAGAAUGGGGAGAAAAGGAUCGUUUGUACUAAAGUUGGAUUUGAGUAAAGCGUAUGAUAGGGUGGAAUGGCACUUUGUGGAGGCAAUGAUGCUUAAAUUGCAAUUUGAUUCUACAUAGGUUUUCUUGGUUAUGCAUUGUAUAUCAUCUACUUCUUAUAAUGUUAUGGUGAAUGGAUAGUCUACUAGUAAAAUCAUCUCAACAAGAGGGUUGUGUUAAUGGGACACUUUAAGGUCGUACCUAUUUCUAAUUUGCAGCAAGGGUUUUUUUCACCUUGUUAUGUAUGGCACCUAAGGGGUGACUUUGAGGAGCUCAAGUGUGUUGUGGAAGUCUAUGAGUAUCCCAUUUGUUUUUAUUUUUUGUAGAUAAUAGUAUUUUGUAUGGGGAAGCAUCUGAGGUAAAAGCUAAAGUGGUGCAUAAUACUAUUAAGAAGUAUGAGGCUUGCUUGAGCUGAUGUGUGAACUUUGAGAAAUCUUUAAUAUUCUUUAGUGCCAAUGUCCUUACUAUUAUCAAAGAUUUAGUCUUGCAUAUCUUGAAUGUUUGAGCUACCAAUAACUCGGAGAAUUACCUGGGACUCCCUACUAUAGUAGGGCUUAAGAGGUCAGAGGCUUUUUGAGGUUUGAAAGACUGAAUGUGGGCUAGUGUUAACAAUUGAAUGUUUGUUUGUUGUCUCACAGAGGUAAGGAAAUUUUUAUUAAAUCGAUUCUACAAGCAAUACCUACAUAUACUAUGUCAUGUUUUUUGUUACCAUCAAGCCUUUGUAAAUAUCUGGAAAGCAUUAUUGGUAAUUUUUUGUGGCACCAUUCACAAUCUAGGUGUGGUAUUCAUUGGUGCAAUUGGCUUGAUAUGUUCAAAUUAAAGGAGGAUGGAGGUAUGGGCUUUCAUGACUUGGGGAAAUUUAAUAUUACGUUAUUGGUUCAACAAGGUUGGCAUUUAUUAACGCGACUAGAUUUAAUAGUGUCAGGGAUACUAAAAGCAAAAUAUUUCCCAACGAAGGAUUUCAUGAGAUCAAGGCUAGGUGCUUACCCAUCACUUACUUAGCGGAGCAUUUGGAGUGCACAACAAUUGUUAGAAAUGGGAAUGGGGUGGUAGAUUGGCAUGGGUGAAGUAGUCUCAAUUUGGCUUAGAUGGUUGUGUUGGAAAAAUCCUGUUCAAAAAACGACUUUCUGUCACAAUGAAAAAUUAAAAUUUUGAAAACCAAGCUGGUUUGUGAUAUUUAUAAUAAUAAACUUUUUCCUGGAAAUACAUGUGCUUUGUGCAAAAUGGAUCCUAGACGUCCCUAGAUUUCAACUGAACAACUUUCUCUGCAAUUCUCGUACCACAAAUUGCUUCGAUUAUGGGCUCGAACAAUUACGAACCAAACACAUAACCAAAAAUGAUUUAUUACUUUAAGUAAGAAAGUAUUUCUUUCUCAAUAUAAACCGACAGAAUUGUUAUUCCAAGAAAAUAGAAUUUAUACUUGAAAAAUAAAUUUUCUCUACUUUCAGGUUAAACUAGAAGAGGGGGCGGCACACCUUAGAUAAAUACACUAGGGUUAUUGCCCCUCAUAUUAUAUCCCCUAAUAUGUAAUAUGAGGGGAUUUGUGCCUCUCUUGUAUUGAAUCCAAUUAUAUAUGCUUUCUAGACUUUUAACCCAAGAUUUUAUAAUUUAAUCCAAUCCAAUACAUGUUUUUCUAUUUCUUAAAAUAAAUAUUAUUUAUUUAAUUUAAAUUAAUUUAAAUUAAUUUUUCAAUUAAAUAAUUUUUCAACCUAAUUUUAAUUCUAUAAAGGCACGACAACUUUACUGUAAAAGAAUCUAUGAGAAAAUAUAUUUAAUUUUCAUAUUUACUAAUUUAUUUUAUUUUAUUUUUGAAAUUAAAUUAUUUAAUUAAAUAAUAAUUUGAAAAACUUAAAUUAAUUCUCAAGUCAUUUCUAUACUCAGUGAAAAAACACAUUCAUUUGCGAAUGUGACUCAUUCUCUAAAUGUAUCAUUUCUAUCAAUUUCUAUUCAUUUGGUUCUUUAUGCAAUUGAUUUUUGGUUUCAACGAUCUAGCGGAGGGACCAAUUGGACAUAUGUAAUUAGGGCUCAAAGAUUUUAUAAUUAAGUUUCAGCUUUUCAUCUAUUAAUUAUAAACUUAUUUAGUCACGAAGUCAUUCCACUAUAGUAUCGUGACUGAGCUCUCUCUUAUUACAUUCCAUAACAAAAGCUACUCAAUUAGUGCUCGUCUAGUGACCUUCUCAUAAGUUUGUUACCCUUAUAGGAUAUCCUUAAUUUCUUGGGGAUAAAUCCGUUCUCCUAAUAUGAUUCUAUUUUAUUUCAUAGUAACUAAUACAUCUUCUUUCAUGAAAAGUUAAUAACUAUCAAAUAGUAAUCAAGACAUUUACCACAAAGACAAAUAAACCGUGACCACAUUUACUUUUAAUAUAUCAUGUAAUGUCGAUGAGAGGAUAUCAUUUACCUAUUUUUUGGGCUAUGAAUUUCACUACAAUAAAUGAUGCUACAUAUUGCAUAAGUUGUAUACUCAACACAUCAACUUUCAUUUUCUUAUUUAUUUGAACUCAAACUUUUACUUACAUCAAAGUAUACGAGUCACUCAUACAUAGUUCAACAUCCACUCAGGAUUAAUGUAUGUUACACUAUGAACGUCACAAAUGAAUAAAUCCAUAAAGAGAUACAUGAUCUAUUCUACUUGGGUCAUUUCCGAUAUAUUAUCAGUCUAGUCAAUCACAUCUAUAUCUCUAUCUUCUGAGAAUCAUUCGCUCCGAUACUCAAGAUAAAGUAUCUCCUCAAUUGGACUUGAUAGACGACACAUUAGUCUUUCAAUUAAUUUGUUUAUUUUCGUUUAUGAGACAAAUAUUAGAACAAAUAUACAUUGGGUGUCUAAUUUGAUUAAUGCACGGAACAAAACUUGGGAUGAGCAGUUUGUUAACUUAGGAUUUACCUCUAAUGAAACUCGUUAAAUUCUGUGUUCCCCUAUCAAUUACGGUGAGCUAGGAUACGUAUGCUUGAUUGAGGGGAGCAAACUUGAGAAUACACAGUACGAGCGGCAAUAAGCUUUUGGUAGCAAAGGGACUUGAGGAAAGAAUCAUCACUAGGUAUUCGCAGAAUUACAAAGAAUUUUACUGUAAAAUUUGGAAAGUUCCGUGUCCGUUGGAACUGAAAAUUAUGUUGUGGAGACUUUUUAAGAAUUUGUGCCUACAAUGUGUAAUUUAUACAAUAGAUGUGUGGAAACUUCCCUCAUCUGCCCAUUUUGUAAUGCUGCGAUGGAAACAAUAGUGCAUGCGAUAACAAGUUGUGAUCUAGCAAGAAGGGUCAGGGUAGCGUUCAACAUUGUCUAGUAUACCUCGUAAUAAAGUGUGGAUUUUCAUGACCAAUUAGCUCGCUUAGUGAAACAAAGUAAUAUGAAUGAAUGCAAAACGAUUAUCACUAUUUACUGGGCUCUGUGGCCUGCAAGGAACAAAUGGGUGCAUGAACGAAAGAAAGAGACAAUUCAUGGAAUUUCGGGGUUUAUUCGGUCCUAUAUUACUGAGACAAAAAGUGUUGUAAGAGCCAUACCUGAGCCACGAGAUGGUUAUACAAACGAAUGAGAGCCACCUGAGGUUAAUAUGGUCAAGGUGAACUUUGAUGUGGGCUUCAGAGCCGCUUCUAAUACAUCCAGCACAAAGGUGAUUGCGGGAGAAAAUAGUGGAAUGAUUUUGAGAGCUUUUGUUCAUACAAGUUGCUUCGUUCCCCUUGUCUUUGCCGUUGAAGCCAUUGCAUGUGUGAAGGCCCUGCAAUUUGCAAAAGAUAUGGGGUUUCAGCGCUUGGUCUUGGAGGGUGACUCUCGGAUGGUAAUCAAAUGGAUAUCUAACAGCGUGGAUCAUUCUAGUGUAACUGCUUAUAUUAAUGAUACAAGGUCUCUCAACUCCCAAUUCUUAGUUUGUAAAGUCAAACAUACUUUAAGGGAUGGUAAUCGGGCGGCGCACCAGCUGGCUAAGGAAGCGUUUGACAGGGAAGAAAGCUUAUUUUGGGUGGAGGAGGCUCUGGCAAAGGUACCUGAGAUUUGAGUGGCGGAUCGAUGAUAGACUAACUCAUUAGACUAGAUGCAGGAUUAGGUUGAGAUGAGGGGUGAAGUGGGAGUAUUAGCUCAUGGGACGCUGUUGGCUGCACUCCGAUGGAACUAUAUUGAACUUAGCCGGCAUUAUUUUAUUUGGAUUUUCACUAUUUUGCAUGUGAGGGGAUUUCCUUUUAUAGCUUUUGGAGAAGGGGGUAUUUAGUCUAUUGGUUUUCUACUGAAAUGUGCAGGUGUGAAUGAUGCACAGCUGUACCCAUCCUUUUAAUGAAACUUUUAUAAUUAGAAAAAAAGGAAUUAAUAAUAUAAUUAUUACAUUAAAUAUUUGGUUAAGAAAUUAAUAAUAAAAUUAUUAUUCUUCCAUCAAAAUGAUAAUGUUAAAGAUUAGAUAUUUUGAUUCCAUUUUGAUUCAUGCUUUUAUUGAUAUUUAAUAAGUUUCAAUUUAAAACAAUCUCUUACUUUAUUCCUUAAAUCACAAACUUUUUUUAUGUAACAAAAACAAUUUUAUUAAAAUCUUGUUUUUGGUAUGUAAACUAAUUAGUAUUAAUUUAAUAUGUAAUCAAUAAAUAUAAAAAAAAGUUGAUUAAUAAAUUUAACGGAAGGAACAUAGUCCUAUAAUGGAACUGUUAAUAGAAAUAGAAUACCCAAAUAACCUUAACAAACAUUCCUAUCCUCAAAUGUAAGAUAUUUUCGUUUCUCCCAAAAUCACAAGAUUUUCUCAUAUGGAAUGUGUGAGAAAUAAAUGCAAACAUUUAAUUGUAAUGAGAAGAAGAAAAAGUGGAGCCGCCCAAAACAAAAUUCACCCAAUCACUACACCAAAGGCCAAUUGGUUUUCACUGUGUCCAACCCACCAAAGGCAAAGUUUCUGGUCUCAUAGGAUAAAAAAAUAUUCAGCCUGAUCUAAGGGGAAUAAUUAUUCUAUUCCCCUGUUAUAAUUAUUUUUUCUUUAUGAAGAAUAAAUCAAACGGCUGAGAAUGUUCCAUCAUCUUUGACCUUCGCAGAAGCUUUCUUUUUUGCUGGGAUUCUACCAGUGGACUCCAACUGUUUGACACGUGUCUGUUCUUUUCCAUAUGCGUUGCUGUUCUCAUGUCCUUGGUAGCAAAAAAGAGAACACUUAACAUCUCCCCGCUCCCUACGGUAACGCAACUGAACAGUGAAGAGCGUAGUUCCAAUAAAACCCUAUCCUACCAUCCACUCACAAAUCACCACGUAAUCCGGGAACCCUUGUUGGGUCAAACGUGGCGUUAUCAUAUUGGUUGAAGCACUGUUUCUCUGUACUUUCGAGUUCGGAAAGUUAUAAGGAAAAACAGAACCGCCUCAAGUCACAGAAGUUUCUUUGUAAAUUGUAAGGAAAGAAACCCAUAGUUUUGGGUUUUAUUAUUAUUUUAUUAUUUUAAUUUUGUUUCUCCAUCUCUCUUUCGUAGAGAAAACAGAGCUAAAACCCAGAAGAAUCAAAGAAAGAGUGGGGGAGGAAAGCAAAAAACUGAGAAAGGCGCACGCUUGAAGGGAGUCAAAUAAAAGAGAAACGGAAGAUAACAGAAUAGGCGUUGAUAGACCGUAGAAUCUAAGAAUCACACAUAAAAGUUUUGGUGGGGUUUUAUGUUUUUUUUUCCCUUCAAUUUUCUGUUUCACUUUUUUAAAUGAAUCCCCUUCCUUAACUACACUUCUUGCGUGUUUCCUGCGGUCUAUCUACUCUUAGUCUGUGUAUUCACUCACUCUUUUUUCUUCUCUCUGUUUUUUUUCUGAAUCUUUAUAAAAACUAUUGCUUUCUUUCUCUUCUUUCUGGGUUUUUUUUUAUAAUUCUUCUUGCUCUUGGUUCUUUUCCCUUUUUUGUUUUUUUUAAGUGGGAUUUCCGAGUUCUGGGCAAUUUAUUGAUGGAGGAAGAAGGUAGGGUUUCUGGUGGCAAUGGGUCAUCUUACUGGCUGGAUGCUUGUGAGGACAUAUCAUGCGACUUGAUUAGCGAUUUUGUUGAUUUCGAUGCUCCUAUAGUUCAAGACUCCGUUGACAAUACUUCCAAUCAAGAUUUCUUUGGAGGAAUUGAUCACAUUCUCGAUAGCUUCAAGAACGGCGCGGGACUUCCUCCGGUGGGAAGUAACGGUGAUAGCUCUGUCGUCAAUGGAAAUGGAAUUCACGACCCCGUUGCUGGAGAUGGAUGGUCUCCCAAUGAGCUCUCUGGGGUUUCCAAGGAUUUACCUGACAACUCAGUUCCGCCAUCUAAUGGAGUUGAAAAAAAGAUUGGAAGCAAAGGGCAGGAAAAAAGCUGCGAUGAUAGUAAUUCCAGUUUAUUUGAUUAUUCUAAUAAGGAUAAUGGAGUUCAUCAAGACGAUAAAAGGUCAUCCGAGUCGAGAGAUAGGGGUUUAGAUAGUGAAGAGAGGUGUAGCAAGAGGGCUCGUGCGAAUGGCUGCAAGAGUGAUAGGCAGUAUUCUAGUAGAGGUCAAUAUUAUCCCCGGGAUAGGGAGAGAUGUUCUGCUAGGAAAAGGGUUCGAGAUUGGGAUGAAAUUGAUCGGAGAGAUAGAGAGCAUGUUAGGAGAAGAGAACAUUAUUAUGGUGGCAAUAGGAGGGAUGGGAGAGAGAGAGAACCAAGGGGUUAUUGGGAGAGGGAUCGGUCAGGGUCCAAUGAGAUGGUUUUUAGGCUGGGUACUUGGGAAGCAGAUCGGCAAAGAGAAGGGAAGGUGGCUAAUGACAAAACUCCCGAGUGCAAUGGAAAGAUGGAGAAGAAAGUUGAGCAGCCGAAGGAAAAACUCUUGGAGGAGCAAGCUCGUCAAUAUCAAUUGGAUGUUCUUGAGCAGGCAAAAAGGAAAAACACAAUUGCAUUCCUUGAAACCGGGGCAGGGAAGACCCUCAUUGCUGUUCUCCUCAUGAAAAGUAUUUCUGAUGAUUUACAAAAGCACAACAGAAAAAUGCUCUCUGUCUUUUUGGUUCCUAAAGUUCCACUAGUUUAUCAGGUAGUCAAAUUUAUAGAAUGUCAGUGUUCUUUUAAGAUUUGAUUGGUUCUGUUGUUUCCAGGUUCAGUUUAUUAUUAUUUUUUAUUUUCCAUUUUCAGCAAGCUGAAGUUAUUCGCGAGAGAACUGGUUUCCAAGUCGGUCAUUAUUGUGGGGAGAUGGGUCAAGAUUUUUGGGAUGCUCGUAGGUGGCAGCGCGAGUUUGAAUCAAAACAGGUAGCUUGUCAAUUUCCUUUUGUGAAAAUUCCUGCUUUACUGUCAUUUGAGCUUUUCUAAUGUUCCAAGUAAUUUCCUUAUUGUAAUGCUAGUCGGCACUAAAGCACAAUGCGGUAUGGUACUUUAGUAAUUUUAAGAUAUGACAUUAUAAUGAGCGAUACAAAAGUGUUUCUGUAUCCAGUCUUUGGUAACACUUUUAGUAUACUCAGCUUUACCUAGUUAGUUUGCUCGUAAAUUACUUAGGAUAGAUUUUUGAACCAAUGUCCUUUUGCUCAAUUUUGUUGAAGGAACGGGAUGAUGUUGAUAUAGCUUUCAAAUUCUAGCAAGAUCCUUAAAUGUCUACUUGCCAGAACCGGGAUUUAGUUGAAAUAUCAGUGAUCCACCCUUUGUCAUGUCCUAAAAGGAAAAGAGGGAAAGCAUAACAAAGCUUUAAAUUGAAAUAUGGUUCUCGACCAUUAGCAAGAUCCUUAUAUGCCUAAUCUAUAGAGUUGGAACUGAGUGGAGCUAUUAAUAUUGGUAUACCUUUAUCACAUUCAGCACCCUUUAUUUCUUUUUUACUCUUUUAACAAGGUAUUAUGAGCUGAUAAAUUCUUGUCUAUCUGUAUGUAAUUGAACAAUCUUUAGUAGGCUGUCUAGCAUAGAUAUCCUCAAAUGGUUGUAUCUUUUUGAGUCUUUGGUAGCUGUUCAUUUGCAUAUAUGACUCUUGUCUAUAUGUCCAUAAGAUUCGCUCAUUUGAUGUCUUUCUUGCAGGUUUUGGUUAUGACAGCUCAAAUUCUGCUGAAUAUUUUGAGACACAGCAUAAUUAAAAUGGAAUCAAUCAAUCUCCUUAUCCUGGACGAGUGUCAUCAUGCUGUGAAGAAACAUCCGUAUUCACUGGUUAUGUCUGAAUUCUAUCAUACAACACCAAAGGAGAAGAGACCUUCUGUUUUUGGAAUGACCGCUUCUCCUGUUAACUUGAAGGGUAUAUUUUUGUUUUCUAGUAGUUGUCUUCUUCAGAUUUAUCUCUGUUUGAGACCAAGGGCGGUCUCUCUUUCAAAAUUUUCUUUCACUUGAUUAUAAGAAAGUUUCCCCCUUUAACUCAUAUUUUGAAAUGUUAUAUUCAGGUGUUUCAAGUCAAGUUGAUUGUGCUAUAAAAAUUCGUAAUCUAGAAAGCAAACUGGAUUCUGUAGUCUGUACCAUCAAAGACCGCAAGGAACUCGAGAAACAUGUGCCAAUGCCUUCAGAAGUUGUGGUAGAGUAUGACAAAGCAGCCAGUUUAUGGUCCCUCCAUGAACAAAUAAAACAAAUGGAAGCAACAGUUGAAGAAGCUGCACAAUCAAGCUCUAGAAGAAGUAAAUGGCAGUUCAUGGGAGCUAGAGAUGCAGGAGCCAAGGAAGAGCUUCACCAAGUUUAUGGUGUAUCUGAAAGAACAGAAAGUGAUGGAGCUGCUAAUUUGAUACAAAAGUUGAGGGCUGUUAAUUAUGCACUGGGUGAACUGGGCCAAUGGUGUGCUUAUAAGGUAUCAUAUGUGUUAAGUAAUUAAGGUUACCACAACUUUUUCUUAUUUUCUUGAUUGUGCAGAAAUGAUCUUGGUUGUUUCCUUUCAUUUCCUUUCUUUUUCAGGUUGCACAAUCUUUUCUGACAGCUUUGCAAAAUGAUGAGAGGGCAAACUACCAGCUUGAUGUCAAGUUUCAAGAAUCUUACCUAAACAAAGUUGUUUCUCUCUUACAAUGCCAAUUAUCAGAGGGAGCUGUUACUGAAAAAGACAUGAACAAUGCAGAAGCAGAGAACUGUAAUGCUCAAGAUGGGACCAAUACUGAUGAGAUUGAGGAAGGAGAGCUCCCUGACAGUCAUGGUGUGUCUUUUAUUUAAUUUUCUACCUUUCUUUUACUUCUUUUUUUUUUUGCCAGCACAUUUUGAGACUGACAUAUAAUUGAAAAGGAUAUCCUCAGGUUUUGAAUGUAUACGUGUGAUAACGUUAAGUAGAACAAAACAUGCAUUGUUUACUUGCUUGUGUUGCGUUUCUUGUCAUCCAUUUUAAGGAAAAUUCUUAUCAUUGUAGAUGUUUCUAAACAAAAGAUAUUUUAAAAACAUUUUGGUGUGUAUUCUCAACUCAUGUGCCGUUUUGUCAUAGUUGUCUCUGGUGGAGAGCAUGUGGAUGUGAUCAUUGGAGCGGCUGUAGCAGAUGGAAAAGUGACCCCGAAAGUACAGUCAUUGAUUAAAAUACUUCUGAAGUAUCAGCACACAGAGGAUUUUCGAGCAAUCAUCUUUGUUGAGCGAGUUGUGGCUGCUUUAGUUCUUCCUAAGGUAGAACCAUUGUCUUGCUUUAAUCAUAUUCAAUGAUAGAUUUCACCCCCUUGCUGUUUCCUAGGAAUGCUAUUUUUACUUCUUUUUGAAUGGACAGGUUUUUGCAGAGCUUCCGUCUCUGAGUUUCAUCAGGUGUGCAAGUUUAAUUGGGCACAACAAUAGUCAAGAAAUGCGGACCGGACAAAUGCAGGAUACAAUUGCUAAAUUCCGUGAUGGUCGUGUAUGUUCAUAUUCCAUGCUUCCUCUCUUCAGCUGAUGAAAGAUCUGAAUCAUGCAAAUAUAGACAUUUGAUAAAUGCUUUUACUUUCUAUUGUAGGUGACAUUGUUAGUUGCAACUAGUGUUGCUGAGGAAGGAUUGGAUAUUCGGCAAUGCAAUGUUGUCAUUCGUUUUGAUCUUGCAAAAACUGUUUUGGCAUACAUUCAGUCUAGAGGUCGUGCAAGGAAGCCUGGGUCAGAUUACAUCUUGAUGGUUGAGAGGUACUUGUUGGGUUUGGUCUUUAAUCAUUUUCUUUCUACAAAAACUGAUCCAGACAAACUAACUUUCAUGCUGUUUACAGAGGAAAUUUAUCGCAUGCUACAUUCCUAAGGAAUGCGAGGAAUAGUGAGGAGACCUUGCGGAAAGAAGCAAUUGAGAGAACCGACCUUAGUCAUUUGAAGGAUACUUCGAGGUUGAUUUCGGUGGAUAUGGUACCAGGUACUGUGUACCAGGUUGAAUCAACUGGUGCCAUUGUUAGCUUGAAUUCUGCUGUUGGACUCGUCCAUUUUUACUGCUCUCAGCUUCCUAGUGACAGGUCUUGUACUCCUUAUAAGAUAGAGACAUUUUUUUUCGUUUCUAUUGUGGUUCUUUCUUUUACUUAGGUGGCAUUGCUUUUGGCUUUUAGAUAUUCAAUACUUCGUCCCGAGUUUAUUAUGAAGAAGCAUGAGAAGCCAGGGGGUCCAACUGAAUAUUCUUGCAAGCUUCAGCUUCCCUGUAAUGCACCAUUUGAAGAGCUCGAGGGUCCCAUGUGCAGUUCUAUGCGUCUUGCCCAGCAGGCAUGCUAUGCUGUCUUGUCACCAUUUACUUGUUUAUCAAAUUUAUAUUCAGAGUAUUUCUGAUGUCCAUAACACAUGUAACAUGUAGGCUGUAUGUUUGGCUGCUUGCAAGAAGCUCCAUGAGAUGGGAGCAUUUACUGAUAUGCUCUUGCCCGACAAAGGAAGCGGGGAAGAAGCAGAGAAGGUUGACCAGAAUGAUGAAGGAGACCCACUUCCUGGAACUGCUAGGCAUAGAGAAUUCUAUCCAGAAGGUGUAGCAGAUAUACUCCAGGUUAGGCCCCUCUGUGGAUAUGUUAUAGCGGUUUGUUGCAUGCCUUGUUAGUUGUUUCUUUUCUCAUUUUUGAGAUAUUCUAGUGCAUGUGUCUAUUUUUAUGUUCUGUCACCUUUAUAAUGCUGUUGACUGGAUAGUUUCUCCCCUCCAACUUGCUGAGCUCCUCGUCUUUAUAAUUUGACCAAGUUUUCCUUUCUGUUGCUCAUACAAACCUUGUAUCAGUACUUAUAUGCUCAUCAAAGUUCAAAGUGCCUGUUCCUUCGUUUUUCUGGUUAUUAAAUAGUAGUAUGUGUUAGUGUUGGUAUACUUUUGGCUGCCGAACAGCCAUAUGAAAAGUAAUGGCCGACUUUGGAAAGUAAAUCAUAGACAUAAAAGGAGGAUCACGUCUUGCAAUCUGCCGAUGACCCUCUCCCCACCCCUUCCCCCCCCACCCCCCCACCGCCCAAAAAAAAAAAGAAGCUUGUAUUCUGGCAUAGAUUGCGUGAGAGCUAGGUUCAUUACACCAAUAUUGCCUUGUUCCUGAAGUUUUGGUUAAAAGCAGCAUAGAUUAUGAUUUUGGCAACAUUUUUCUAGGGAGCUUCAAUGCUGGUAAGACUACAGUCUAGUACGUAUGUAUUGUAAUGGGAUUUGCCUUCUUUUGUGCUUAUGAAGGUGGAGGGAUGAUGUGGAGAGGGAAAAAAACAUGUUCUUUAACAAAUAUGCCUUUUGCUUUCAAGUUUAUAAUGCUUUUGGGUCCACAGGGAGAAUGGAUUUUAUCUGGAAGAGAUGGUGUUGAUGACUCCAAAAUACAUCGUCUGUACAUGUAUACUAUCAAAUGUGUAAAUAAUGGCUCUUCAAAAGAUCCAUUCUUAACUAAAGUCUCAGAUUUUGCAGUACUUUUUGGCAAAGAGCUGGAUGCAGAGGUAAUUUCUGUUGUUUUCAGUAUGAGCAUAACUUGUAUUUGGUAAAUAGGAUUUUAAUUUCAAACAACAUUUGUCACCAUUUAGGUGUUAUCGAUGUCGGUGGAUCUAUUUAUCGUUCGAGCCAUGAUAACAAAGGCAUCUCUUGUCUUCAGGGGAUCAAUAGAUAUAACUGAAAGUCAGGUGAGUUUCUGUUUAAAUUGUUUGAAUAAUGAUUACUAUUUGAGAUGUUUUUGCUGUUUGUACUAGACUAUGCUUAUGGUAUAACUUACAAUUUUGCUUAUGUGCAGAUGGCAUCCCUUAAAAAUUUUCACGUAAGAUUGAUGAGCAUUGUAUUGGAUGUGGAUGUUGAUCCUGCCACUACUCCUUGGGAUCCUGCCAAGGCAUAUUUGUUUGUCCCUGUGGUUGGCGAUAAGUUUGUAGAUCCUAUAAAAGAAGUUGAUUGGGAUUUGGUAGAUAAUAUAAUCACUACAAAUGCGUGGAGCAAUCCCCUUCAGAGAGCUAGGCCAGAUGUUUUCCUUGGGACAAAUGAGAGGACACUUGGUGGUGACAGAAGGGAGUACGGAUUUGGGAAAUUGCGUCAUGGCCUGGCUUUUGGGCACAAACCUCAUCCUACUUAUGGUAUCAGAGGAGCUGUAGCCCCAUUUGAUGUUGUUAAAGCUACCGGGGUGGUUCCUAGUCGUGAUACGAACGAGGUACAAGGGGAUUGGACCAAAGGCAAUUUGAUAAUGGCUGAUGGUGUUGCACGUGCAGAAGAUCUUGUUGGAAGAAUAAUAACAGCCGCUCAUUCGGGGAAGAGGUUUUAUGUAGAUACAAUAUGCUAUGACAUGUCAGCAGAGACCUCCUUUCCGAGGAAAGAGGGCUAUCUUGGUCCUGUCGAGUACAGCUCAUAUGCCGAUUACUAUAAGCUGAAGUAUGAAUUUGAUAUCUCUUACCUUUAAAUUCCUAUUUUCUUCCCUACGGCUUAAUAAUAUUAGAAAUAGCAAUUGCCUGCCUAUUAAUUGCUUCUUUUUAAUGGAUGAGAUAACCUAAAUGUAUCUCAGUUGUGCGUGUAGAAUAGGAAAGCAUGUCCUACUCUGUCGAGGACAUGGUUGACUACUUUUAGGUGCUGAAUAUGUGAGCUUUUGUCACAUUUCCACCUGAUAGUAUUGGAUGUCCUUACAGAUCAAAUAUGCUUUCUGUUUCUUCCCGCACAACAAAGGUGCAUUAGGCUAUUGAGUCCUCUAUAUAUUGUUUCCAGGUAUGGUGUUGAGUUGAGCUGCAAGCAACAAGCUUUGAUAAGAGGUCGUGGUGUUUCAUACUGCAAGAAUCUCUUAUCUCCUCGAUUUGAGCACUCAGAAGGUAUUAUUUAGAAAAAUUAUGCUUGUGUCUAACAUGAGGUUUGCAUCGGUUAUGGUCAUUUUUUUGCUAAACCUAAUGUGUGUACCAUAUGAAGGUGAAUCGGAGGAGGCACUUGACAAAACAUACUACGUGUUUCUUCCGCCUGAGCUAUGUUUUGUUCAUCCACUUCCUGGAUCACUUGUUAGAGGUGCCCAGAGGUUGCCCUCUAUUAUGAGGAGGGUUGAGAGCAUGCUUCUUUCAAUUCAACUUAAGCACAUAAUACAAUUUCCGGUCCCUGCUUCAAAGGUGUGACAUUUUUCUCUGGCUGAUCAAUUCCAAGCAGCUUUCAGAUGAUUAAUAAAUUGUCUUUCUUUUAUAUGUUCAGAUUUUGGAAGCUUUGACUGCUGCUUCGUGUCAGGAGACAUUUUGCUAUGAAAGGGCUGAGCUUCUUGGGGAUGCUUACUUGAAAUGGGUAGUCAGUCGUUUUCUGUUUCUUAAAUAUCCCCAGAAACAUGAAGGUCAACUGACCAGGAUGAGACAACAAAUGGUGAGUAACAUGGUAUUGUAUCAAUAUGCAUUAAAUAAGGGACUUCAAUCAUACAUCCAAGCAGAUCGCUUUGCACCAUCUAGAUGGGCUGCUCCUGGGGUGUUGCCAGUCUUUGACGAGGAUACAAAAGAUGGUGACACGUCCUUAUUUGAUCAAGAACAUGCAACUGCUGAUGUUUUACCAGUAAAAGUACAUGGUGAUGGGUUUGAAGAUGAAGAUAUGGAAGAUGGUGAGAUUGAGAGUGACUCAAGUUCUUAUAGAGUCCUCUCUAGCAAGACCUUAGCAGAUGUGGUUGAAGCACUGAUUGGAGUUUAUUAUGUUGAAGGUGGCAAGCAUGCAGCUAACCACCUCAUGAAAUGGAUUGGGAUCCAGGUGGAGUCUGAUCCUGAUGAGAUGGACUCUAUAGUGAAGCCAUCUAAUGUUCCAGAAAGCAUACUCAGGAGUGUAAAUUUUGAGGCCUUAGAAGGUGCAUUGAAAAUCGAGUUUAAAAAUAGGGCCUUGUUGGUAGAAGCUAUUACUCAUGCUUCACGCCCAUCAUCGGGAGUAUCCUGCUACCAGCGUUUGGAGUUUGUUGGUGAUGCAGUCUUGGAUCAUCUUAUCACAAGACAUUUGUUUUUUACAUACACCAAUUUGCCUCCAGGUCGCUUGACUGAUUUGCGUGCUGCUGCCGUAAACAAUGAAAACUUUGCACGUGUUGCAGUAAAGCACCUGUUGCAUGUGCACCUUCGGCAUGGAUCAAGUGCCCUUGAGAAACAGGUUUGCUAUCUGAUUCCUUCACUUUUGCUUGUUUAAUGUGAAGGUGCCAGUUUAACCCAUAUUCUGUUCUGCACAUGGGUGGGUUCCCUCUGACUUGGUACCCUUGGCUUCUAUUUCAGAUUCGGGACUUCGUGAAGGAAGUUCAGGAUGAGUUAUUAAAGCCAGGUUUCAACUCUUUUGGAUUGGGAGAUUGCAAAGCACCAAAAGUUCUUGGAGAUAUUGUUGAAUCCAUUGCUGGUGCCAUUUUUCUCGACAGUGGACGUGACACUGCAGUUGUCUGGAGGGUUAGUUUGGGACUGACUUUUCUUACUGCUAUAUGUAUACACACGCUAACAAGACAAUCUGAUAAGAGAACAAAAUGAUCUUGCUUUCCAGGUUUUUCAACCUCUGUUGCAUCCCAUGGUGACUCCAGAGACAUUGCCGAUGCAUCCUGUCCGGGAACUACAAGAACGAUGCCAACAACAAGCUGAAGGCUUGGAAUACAAAGCCAGUCGAAGUGGCAAUUUGGCCACUGUGGAGGUUUUCAUUGAUGGGGUCCAGGUUGGAGUUGCUCAGAAUCCCCAAAAGAAGAUGGCACAGAAACUAGCUGCAAGGAAUGCACUUGCUGUUCUGAAGGAGAAAGAAACAGCUGAAGCUAAGGAGAACUGUGAGGAGAAUGGGAAAAAGAAGAAGAAUGGCAACCAGACAUUUACCAGACAAACAUUGAAUGAUAUCUGCCUGCGUCGAAACUGGCCUAUGCCCUUCUAUCGGUGAGAAAUUACAGUUGGUACCUUUUCUUCCUCUUAUAUUUGGACAGCAACAUGCAACUGAUCUGAUGCGUCAUCUUUAGGUGUGUGAAUGAAGGGGGCCCUGCCCAUGCAAAGAGAUUUACUUUUGCUGUCAAGGUUAACACCACUGACAGGGGGUGGACCGAUGAAUGCAUAGGUGAGCCAAUGCCUAGUGUUAAGAAGGCCAAGGACUCAGCCGCUGUGCUUCUCUUGGAACUUUUAAACAAAUGGUAUUCAUGAUAGACAAUAUUGAGGACAAUGAUUAUUUUGGUACUUAGUUUCCCAACACUAUUUUUUCAAUAGCCCCCUUAUUGGUCGUGGGGUGCAUCACAAUUCUUAUAAUUUUUUGUCAUUAAUUAACGUUAUGCUUUUGGCCAAAGGAAAAUAUUAUAAGUAAAUGGAUUUAUAAUUUUGCAUGAAUUGUUGAUUUCAAAUGUAAUUGGGGAACAGGACCAGAACAUACACAGUUGAAUGAGAUAAAGAGACAUUUGUCUUCUUCUUUUUUUUUCAUUCUCGUUGACUGUUCGCUACAUUCUAUGAAUGUGUUUGAUUUGAAGUUGAAUUGUAGCACCAAAAACAGUUGAACAUAGAAGCAUUUCUUGAAUAUGUCUCGGUUGCUUUUGGAAAGAUUACAAGGUGUGCAAGGAGGAAAACAUGUGUAAAAUGAGCGAUGAAGUGAUGAUAAUAACAAAAAUCUCAAAUCGCAUUCUAGUAAUGUCAUAAAUUCCAUAUAUAAUCUCUUCCCGACAACAAAGUUUUUAAUCCAACGGGUAAUAAUAAUCGUACAGAAUCACAGCUAAAAAGGGAGUAUCAAAGGAGUUCAAUUCAUAUCCAAAUGCUGUCGAUAAAUGUUUUAUUUAGUAUGUGGUGCAUUUCCUCCCAUGAUGGAAGAUUGCCCUUUUUCAGCCUAUCGCCUCAGGGUUUGCAUAAUGUACUCGGCAUAAAGAUCCCUGCAACAGAUCAACACAAGAACCUCAGUAGAAGCAUAACAAAAAUUAUUAAUAAUGGAGACCAAGGAUGUCGGAACCAAAGGGGGAAAUGUCCGUUAGCUUUGGACAUGAAUUCCCUCUAUUAUUAUGUAUACCCAUCCUUGGGAGGUAUAAUAUAGUUCUAGGCAUACAUUGAAUACUGGACAGCUUCAACGGCAGCGGUUGCUGGUAAAAAUUUGUCGACUGCAACCUCCUUGUUCUCAUUUUUCUUGUCUGUGCUGUGUUAAGAAAGCGGUAUUCCUUGCAUCAGGGAACAAACUUGAACAUUCUUUUGAUAAAUAGCUCAAAUAUCGAGGAAUGAGUUUUAUAAUUUGAUAUUGAAAAGGAUACAGUCUUCAAAGAAACGACGGAUCUCAGUCAGGCGGUGAGGGGGAAGAUCUUUGAUGUCGGUGUAAUGCUUGUACUCAGGAUCAUCAACACAAACUGCAAUGAUCUUGUCAUCUUUCUCCCCCUAGGUAAGAAUUAUGAAGCAGAUAUCAGACAAACUGAAGGGAAGAAGUGUCAAAAGGUUAACCUGAAACUACAAUGAAAUACCUGGUCAAUCAUUGGCAUUAGUCCAAGGGCUCUGGCUCGCAGAAAACAUCCAGGAAGAACAGGCUCCUAUUUGAAGAAACAACAUAAUUUGAGUACUUCUAGAUCACUGUUAAUAUGCAGCUCAAAGAUGAACUCGAUGAAAUGCCUUAAAAGCAAUGCGGGUGGUUCAGAGUGCAUAGAGGAAGAAGGCUAACGGAACUGGGGUGGUAGAAGUAAUGGUCAACAAUAGAACACAUAAGAGGCUUUUAUAGUGAAUAAAUUAAUCGUACAUGUUUACAUUCAGGAAUAAGUUAUUGGGAAUUUUACUAGUGUUUCACCUGCAUGAUAACCAAACAAUCCAAGGGAUCAUUGUCUUCACAAAGUGUGCGAGGGAUGAAACCAUAGUUAUGAGGGUAGACCACUGAUGAAUAUAAAACUCGAUCAACCUGAUAUUCAUGUUGACAGUAAGAAAACAUUACAAUAUGGAGCCUGUAACAGUGGCAAACUUUCUAAUAAACAUGACUAAACUGGAAUUCAUUGGAAGAAAGGGAAAGCCUUGACAUAGUAGCUCAGGAACAUGUACCAGGAACUACUAUCUUUAAAGAUGCAAAACUUUUCAUACCUUAAUCAAUCCUGUCUUCUUGUCAAGUUCAUACUUGACCUUACUACCUUUUGGUAUCUCAACAACCUGUAUGGUUGAACAAGAAAUUCAAUAAGCAAACAAUUAGCAGUGACUGGAGGUUAGACAUUUCGGCUUUAAUAUGUGAAAUGUUUUCUUGGUACCUUAAGAAUGUUCCUCAAAUAGGAAAACCAGGGUAAGUUUAGGUGAAACUAAUAAAUUAAUGAAUGUUAUUGAUAUAUGUAAAGCAUGCUAAAUUAUGUUUAUUUCUCAGUUUAUUUAAAACCAUAAAUGUUCUAUGAACAAGUUCAGACUGAUAAAAUUAGAAAGAAAUCAUACACAGUUAAAAAUUGCUGGAGCUCCAGGUCCUGAACACAAUAUUUUUGAAACAGGUCAGUUCCCAAAAUCUGAUUAUUCUCUCGGACAAUAUUAGCAACAACAUCAAAUCAGAAUAUUCACUCAUUAGAUAGGGUACCAAUCUCAAGAUCAUGCCAAGGAUGUGCAGCAACUGAUCUCCGUGACAUAGACGAAAGAAUCCUCUCGUUCAGACGGGGUGGUUUGCGUGGAGUUUCCAGUACCUUAGCUUCAUUUUUAUCUUCUUCACUCAUCUUUUCCACAACAAUAAAUUGCAUCAACAUUCAAUCAAAACCCAGUAAUUAUGUUAGUUUAUUCAUCAGUUGUAAUUGAUCCAGUUAUACGGGAAUUUAUAAUAGCCACAAGAUGCAUAAAAGGAAAGGCUGCUAAGUGUUUGGAAGACUAAGUCUAGGAUCUGACUGGUAACAGAAUUUCCAAAAAACAAAACUAUAUGUUGUUCCAUUUCUCAGAUAAUGAAUGCCAUGCAAGUGACCAGAUUCUAUUGCAAAAUUUGGCACAAACAUUAGCUACCAUGAUAUUCAAGAGUAAGGCAAUAAACUAAAUAAUAGAUCGACAUCUCAAUCCUAAGUUCUUAGCCCAAUACUACAUGCUCUCUUAAUAGUCAAACAAUUUUACUCAACUCUCAUUAAACAACCAAAAUUGAAGAAAAAUGACAUAACUGAUCAAUUACACUCUGGUCUAAUGGCACACAUGUCUUCUCAUAACCGGAUCGGCUACUAGGGUCAGGUGUUUAUGCUUAUUCAUUACUAUAUUAUAAAAGAUGGUUACUUCAUAGUACUAUUUAUCUGUAUCAAGGUCGCUGCAACAAUCAAGUACAAACAUGAAUUAACCAUAAAAAGCGAGUUGGUUAAAUAUCUAGUUCUUCAGCAAUCUCUUUCCUCAAAUAGUAAAACUAAAAAACAAAAACGACAGCUUUUUAAUGCUUUACAUCUAUGCUGAACCAAAAGUCCGAUUCUUGUUCAUAAGUUCUAGUAAAGGAUUCAAUAAGAUCCUAUGGAACUUGUGCCUUUGCACUUAAACCCAGAAACGAAACGGCCAUGAAACGGGAAUUGAUAAAGUGUAAACGAGCGAUCUAUAAAAAAUAGACAAAAACAAUGAAAAGGGUUUCCAUUAGUGAUCCAAAACGGUGGCAUAAAGUGAAAGAAAGCAUACCUUGGUUUGUUGUGGUUUAAGAGUGCACGCACAGAAAAAGAAAGAAAGAAGAAGCUUUUGAUUAUUGAGGGAAGAGAAAUAGGAAGGGAUGCAAUGAGCUUGAAGCUGCGCUUGAUGUUAUAGGUAAAAUAUUUAUAGAAUGGAGUCUUCAAAGGAUGUUAAAGAAUGGGAGAAAAUAAGUUGUCCCUUGAUUGUAGGCAGUGGCUCGGUUCUGCUGCUGACAAAAGAGAUUUUGUGUCAACUAUUACCAUAUAUCUAUUUUCGUCAUUUACAUUCAAAAACUUUUAUUUUAGUUAUUAAUAUUAUCAAAAUUUAAUAUUUUAGUAGUUUAAAUUAUAUAAAUGGAGUGUAGAUAUGGAUAUUUUUAUUGAUAUAAUAAUAACUUUAGUCUUUUAAUAUUUACAAACUCUAUUAAUUUUGUGUUAAUUUUAAAAAAUACAACAAUUUUAACCCUUAAUUUUACAUAUUAUCUCAAUUUAGUCUUUAUUCUUAAAAAUUCAAAACUAAAAACCUCAAAAAAUUAUUUUAAAAGUUCAUUUUCUAAUAAAAAUAUAUAUAAAACUAUAAAAAUAUUUAUCUAAUUUUUUUAUGAUUAUUUAACAUGACAUUUAUUUAUUAAAUAAAACUUUUAUAAAUAAAACAAUUUAAGAGGAAAAAAUCUUGAAAAAGACUUAAGUAGAAUCAAUUCUUUUUAAUAUUAACUACCACCACCGUAUUCAAAUUAGGUAAAAUACUAUGGCUUGAGUUUGAAAAGAAUAAUAAGUGAUGUCUUUAGGUUAUUACAUUUGAGUUUGUGCUUGAAGGCAAGUAUCGUUAGGGAUAUAUGAGUAGGUGGAAGGUCAUGCUGACAACUACACAAUUGAUUUCUAAUUUGAUAGCAAGAUGAUGAAGGAUGCGGAAAGCGAAGAGUUUAGAGUAAGAGUUAUUGGUGCUGGUGGUUGUAGGUGAAGGCAGUGCCCAACACUAGAUAAAUUUGACGAGAAUUAAUGAACAACACUAGAUAAACAAAUUAUUAUUUAUAAAAUAAAACUAAAAAAGUUUGAAUUUGGUUUAAGUAUUGCUUACGGGUUUUUAAAAAAUACUUUAUUUAUAAAAUUAUUAUUUUAAUAAAUAAAUUUCAUGUUAGAAAAAGAAAAACAUCGAGUAUUCAUUUAUUUAUAAUUUUUCUUUUUAUACGAAUUUUUAUAAUUUUAUAUGUAUUUUUAUUAAAUCUUAUGUAUUUUAAUCAAAAAAUGAACUUUAAAAUAAUAUUUAUUUUUUAAAGUUUCUAUUUUUGAUUAUUUUAAGAAUCAAGAUUAAAUUGAAAUAACAUGUAAAGCUGAUGGUUAAAUUUGUUUUAGAAUUAGAACUAAAUUGAUAGAACAUGUAAACAUUAGAGGGCUAAAUUUAUUAUAUGCUAAUGAAAAAAUAGUCACAUCAGCACUUUGUUAGUGAUUUAACGGAUAAGCGACCAAAAUAUUAAAUUUUGAUAAUGCUAGUGAUUGAAAUAAAAAAAAAAUUUAAACUUGAGUGAUCAAAUCAUAAACACACUAAUAGUUGAGUGGUUAUUAUAUAGUUUACCCUAGAAUCUAUUCCACUACUAUAAAAGUAUAAAAUAUUGGUAAAACACAACUACCUUGAGGUUUAGUAUAACUAAUUAGACUUAUUCAUAGAUCGGACCACCCAUUAGGUUCAAAUGCCUACUUGAAAAAUGAGAGGGUUUAGACAAAAAUUCGAAGCCUGAAAAAUAGACUUGGGUAAAAUUUAAGGGCCGUUUUCUAUAUGGGCCAAGUCUUAGGUAAGAUUUUUUGCUCGAGCUCGACUCGACCCUGCCCGAAUAUAUUAUGUUAUAAAAAUUAAUUAUAUAUAUUAAAUAAUAAUUAUUUAUAUUAAAUUACUAACCCAAUAACAAUUGAACUCAUUAUCCAAAACCUAAAAAUAAAACUUACCCAACUAAAUAACCCAACCCAAAAUAUAAAAUUUUAAAAAAUAUAUUUAAUACAAUAAAAUAUUUAUUAUAUUUAUUUGUGUUUUGUAAUAUAAUAAAACAUUUAUUGUAUUUAUGGUAGUUUUUUUAAUAUAAAUAUUUUUAAUGUGUUAGAAAAUUUUAUUUUAGAGUUUUUUAGUGAUUUUAGUAUAUUUAAAAAAUAUUUUUAAAUAAAAAACUAAUCUAAAAAAAAGUCAAAUAUGGGUAGAUUGGAUCGGACCCGGAUUUACCUUCCUUAAAUUGGGUUGGGCUUGAACAAAAGCGUAAGCCCAUUUUUUAAGUUGGACCCAAAAUUGAAAAAUUAAUCUAGAUACCUUGUAUGGACUUGACCUAGCCCGACAUAUGAGCACCUCUAAAAACAAUUUUAUUUACCUUCAAAUAUUUUUUUGCGUAUAUAAUUUUUCUAAAUAAUAAUAAAAUCUUUGUAACUAUUAUCAUGUUUUUAUUAUAUUCGUUAUUUUUAAUUAAAUAAUAAAAAUUAAUUAAUUUAAGAUUAUACCAAAGUACCAUAAAAUUAAAGGGUAAAUUAUACCCAAGUUCACUGAAUUAUUAAUAAGUUUACACUUUGUUCACUUAACUUCAAAAAAAUUAUAAAAUGAAAACUGAAUUAUUCAAAAGUUUUCAUUUAAAUUACUAAAGUCAAGUCUUUAAGGAUGAUUGAUAUGGUCGUUAAAUUAUUGUUUAUCAUAAAUAAUAUAAUAUAUAUUAACUACGCGAUUUCAACCUGGCUUAUUAAUAAAAAUACUUUGGCUUUUAAAUCCUUUAUCAUUUCUCCUUCUAAGAAAAUUGAUUAUAAGGUUUUUUCUUUCUAAGUUUUCUUUAGAAUCUCUCACUUGUACUCUACAAAAAUGCGACGAUUAAUGGAAGUUGUAAUGACUUAUUUGUAUGAGUUAUUAGAUAAUGAAAUCUACAUAAAAAAUCUUUGAAGAACUUAAGAUGCAUGAUGCAUAUAAUUAAAAACCUCAACAACCAUACUCUAUUAAAUUAUAAAGAUUCUUGUAUGGAUUAAAGCAAUCUUGAUGUAUGUGGUAUAAUCGUUUGAGUGAACAUUUAUGAAAAAAUGGAUAUGAAAAUUAUGUUGUUUGUCCUUAUGUUUUUAUCAAGAAAAUAAACUUUAGGUUUGUUAUAAUUGCAACUUAUGUUGAUGACUUAAACAUAGUAAGGAUUCCAGAAGAGAUCUUUGCACCUCUAACUAUUGAAAUAAGGAAUUUAAAAUGAAAGAUGUAAAAUAAUUUUUUGUCUUGGAUUUCAUGUUGAACAUUUAGCAAGUAAAAUAUUUCUUCAUUAAUCAACUUAUAUAAAAAGGUAAUUGAAAUAUUUGAACAUGGAUAAGUUUUAUCCAUUAAACUCUCAUAUAGUUGUUCUUUCGCUUGAUGUUGAAAAAGAUUUGUUUCAUUCACAAGAAGAUGGUGUGAAAAGUUCUUGAUCUUGAAGUAUUGUACUAGAAUAGAUAUAGCCUUUAUGGUCAAUUUACUUGCAAGAUCUAGUUCUGCACCAACACAAACAUAUCAUAAUGGAGUGAAACAUGUUAUUCAUUAUCUUCAUUACACAUUUGAUAUGAGUUUGUUUUUCUUAUAUGGAGUAAAAUCAAAAUCGAUGAGGUAUGUGUUGGAAAUUGUAGAUUGCAAAUUAAUUAUUCAUGAGCACUAUUCAAAUUAAAAAGUGAUGAUUUGUCAUCUAAUGGAUACAUUUCCAUGGGACAUGUUUUUUCUAAGAAGUAUGUCCAGCUAAGGGUUGUGGCUCUUCAAAAUAGUAUCCAUUGAGUGCAUAUAAAUAGAGGGACUAUGGUGUUCACAAAGUACAUUACAAUCAAUUCAAUUUUAGAAAUUAGAGUAAGAGUUAGAGAAUUCCUCGAUUUUCUAGAGUUAGAGAAUUUCUCGAUUUUGCUAAUAAAAGGAAAUUCAAAAGCUUCACUAUAUCCCAAUAGGACCUCUGUCUUAACCCUCUAGCAACUUUGUGCGGGGGCAAAUAAUUCUUUUUGGAAAGCAUUACCCGCGCCUCGAAGUCUACUGUUUAAUUCCAUAUAGUCUCCAGAUCUAUCGUCUCCACUCAAUAUCUCCAAUAGUAUGUUGAUACUAGAUAUCUUUUUUAUCAUUGUAAAGCUUUAUCACAAACAAGUUAUGUUUUCACAUGUAGUGAUACUACUAUUUCAUGGAAAUUUGUAAAGCAAAGAGUCACUGCCACAUUAAGAAACCAUUCAAAAUUUUGGCUCUUUAUGAAGAAAGUCACAAAAAUGUUUAGUUACAGACAACAAUUCAACAUAUCAAAAAAGUGUGUAGAUUGUUUGUUGAUAAUGGCAAGCCAACAAUAUUGCAACAUGCAUUUCACAAAUUAAAAGUGAUUGUGUAAAGGAUGAUAGAACUAAAAAUAUCUCGAAAUUCACUCAAUUGAUAACCCAGUAGAUCAGUUCAUAAAAGCAUUGUCAACUUCAAUUUUCAAGAAGCAUGUAUGUAAUAGCUUGAUUUUCAGUAGUGUUGGAAAUCGUAGUUCGAGACCACCAAAUCCGGUGAAUAAGCUCGUAAAUUUUAUUAUUUAAUAUUUACGAGUCAAAUAUGAUUUUUAAAAAAAUUUUAAAUUAAUAAUUUAUGUAUUAUAAUGAAUUAUUAGAUUCGAGUGAUAAAACCCUAGUUCAAGUGGUUUUGAAAAAUGAGGUAUCAGGACCUCGUUUCUAUAAACCGAGCCGUAAAUAUUUUUAUAAAUAUUUACGGAGUGUCAUUAAGGUGGUAUUAAAGUUUUGUUGAAAAAUUUUAACGUUUUGAUAGUGAAUUAAGAGUAAUUAGGUAUAAAGACUAAAUUGCAUAAAGGGUGAAAGUUGAGUUAUAGAUUAAAGAAAAAUUAAAGGGACUAAAGAAGCAAUUAUGCCAUUGUUUCUUUAUGAGGCGGCAUAAGGUGGAUUUUUAUGAAUUUAUUAUAUAUUAUAAAAUAAACCUUAAGUGUUAAGUAUAUAUUAUUAUAUAUUAAUAUAUAAUAAAAUAAAGUAAUAAUAAUAAUAAUAAUAAUAAUAAUAAUAAUAAUAAAGAAUUAAAAAGAAACAAAGCAAAAACGAAACAGAAGGAAAAAGAAAGAAAAAAAGAAAAAGAAAAGGGAGAAAGAAGGAGACGAAAGCCUUAAGGGUUUCAAAGUUCCAAGUUCAAUUGGUUACUCAAUUUAGUUCUUUUUCUUAUAAUUUUUAUGUUUUUGAGAUUGUUACAAUUAGGUCUAACUAAACAUUACUUUUAUUUUUUUAUUUUGUUAAAUAUUUUGGAUGUUGUCAUUGAUGAAUAUAUAUGAUUUUUUAUGUUAAAUGAUUAAUUUGAGAUAUUAGUUGUUAAUUAAAAGUAAUUUGUUAAGUGAUUUUGAUGAAUUUUUCAAUUAAGGAUUAAUUUGUUAAGUUAGUAAAAAUACAAGGGUUGUUGUGAAAUUAUUGCAAAAAUGGACUGUAUUGAAUGCCAUGAAUAUUAAGCUAGCAUGAGUUUGCAUUAAAAAUGGUUAAUUUUCAUGUUUUGGGUUUAGGGACUAAAUUGAAUUAAAAGUAAAACUUUAGAGGAAAUUUUGUAAAAAUGUCAAAAAAGACCAAAUUGCAUGAAAUAAAUUUUUUUAUCGUCUAAAUUAAUAUAUUGAAUGAAAUUAUUAAUUUAGAUCAAGAUCGAGUAGAAAAUCGAGGAAAAUAGAAACUUUUCAAAAUGCCCCUGAACUUUGGUAUUUCUGCAAUUUAGCUAGGUAAGUUCGUGUAAUUAAAUUGUAUAUUUAUAUGUUUUAAAUUGAAUGUUGUGUAUGUGAUUUGUGUAAAUUGCCAUGUAUGAAAUUAAUCGCAUAUCCGACGAUGAUCGACAAAUAUUAAAUCCUGUUUGAAUAAAUGAAAUUCGAUGGAUAUCGGGUUCCCGAAUUGGUUGUGGUCCUGCAUGUGUUGCAGACACACCACAGUUUGAAAGAGCGUCCCGUUAUUAGAUCUUAUGAGCUUCUCGUUAAUAUCUCUUCAAAGCAUCUCGAUUGGUUGUGGUCAUGUAUGUGUUGUGGACACACCGCAACUCUUAUGAGCGUCUCGAUAUAUGGCUUUUCAGAGCUUUCCGAUGAAAAGCACUUUCACGAGCUUCCUGAAAUAUGGCUCGUUGGAGCUUCCCGUUAUUGGCUCGCUUGAACUUCCCGAUAUUGGCUCGUAUGAGCUUCCCGUUAAUGGCUCUUCAGAGCUUCCCGUUAUACAACUCACAUGAGCUUCCCGUUAUAUGGCUCGAAAAAGCUUCCCAUUUAUGUGUUCAUAUGAGCAUUCCCGAAUAUAAAUUGACAGAUUUCAAAUUUGUACACUUCGUGUGUACUACCUGCGUAUUCAUCGAUAUUUUAAAUGAUUCAACGGGCAAAGUUCUGACAUAAGACAACAUGAAAUUGAAAUGUACUAUACCAGUAUAUACCCGAAAUAUAUGGAAUUGAUAUAUGAAUACAAGAUGUGGAAAGUUUAUGAACAUGGAAAUUUGAUUAUUAUUGAGCUCAUACAUGUGUCUUGAUAUUUAUACGAAAUACAUGGAAAUGAUGGUACACGAUAUAUUGAUAUAAUGAAAUGAAUGAUAUAUGAUUAUGAAGAAACAAUAAGAUAAUGAUAUGUAUCACGAUAUGUACAUAUAUGAAUAUUUUUGAUAUGACGAUACAAGGAAAUUAUGUAAGUUGAGACGAGUAAUAAACUCAGGUGUGACAUGUUGAGAAAAUAAGAUUAUCAAUGUUGAAUUUAUAUGAAAUAUGUUUAAAUACACUAACAAGUGUUGUUGUUUGAUGCUUAGGCAAGUGUCAAGCUAUUGGUUAAAUGGUAAUAUGUUUAUUUAUAUGAUGCAUUUAAAGGGUAAGUACCCAAAUGAAAAUAUGCUAGUGCUCAUGAAAGAGUGGUAAGGUUUAAGUUCUGCAAUUUCUUAUGAAAUGACUUAUCAUGUGAUUAAUUCGAAAAAGGCUAUGUUUAAAUGCACUAGCUUGUGGCUAUGGUUGAAUGAUAUGUUUAUGACUGGUGUGUUAUGCAUAUGGAAUGAGUGUGGAAAGUAAAGAAAUGCAAAUGAAAAUAAAGAAAUUUGGAAGAGUUAAAGUUGUUUAAAAUCCUACUAUGCUAGGAAUAAUGUAUAAGUGAUGUUGUGGAUUUAUUCACCUUGUGAGUUAUUGAAUAUAACUUCACGAGUAUUGCAGUGUCAAUAUUAGAUUAUUCUUGAUAUGUAUAAAUUUCAUAUCUGAAAUGAAUUGAUAUGAUUAAAGUUUAUACGAGCUUACUAAACAUUCAUUGCUUACAUAGUUGUUUUCCUUUACUUUUCAGAUUAUCGAAAGCUCGAUCUGGUUGGAAGCUUGUCGGAGAUAUACAACACUAUCCAACAGUUUUAUCAGUACUUUCGGAUGUUUUAAUUUUGGUUAUAAUGACAUGUAUAGGUAUUCUGGUUAAUGUUGGCCUACAUGUGUUUUGUUAAAAUUAGUUACUUAUUUGGCUUGUGUGUUGGCACAUUUUGGUUUGGUGCAUAUUUGCCUUAUAUGAUUGAUGUGUGAUUUGGUUUAUGAUUGUAUGAUAAAAGGGUAAAAUGUUAGCUAAAAGUGCAAUUAUAUACAUGUGUUUUGGGAUGUGAUGAAUUGAUUAGGAAUCGGUACCUUAAUAUAUAAGGUAUAAAUAUAUUUAAAUAUAUUAGUAUAUAAAAUACAUUUUGACACCAGAUGGUAGGGUUUUUUACAAAAAUAAUAUAAAAAUAAAAAAUUACUAAAAUGUUAUAACUUUUUUUAUUUACCAAAAAAUAUAUAAUUUUUUUAUUUACCAAAAUAUAUAAAAAAACAAAAAAAAAACAGAAAAAAAAACCUGAACUGAUUUGACAACUCCCUGGGUGGAGGGAAGCAGGUUGGCGGCACCAAACAAGGGAAGCAGGUUGGCGGCACCAGUGGAGGGAACCAGGUUGGCGGCAACACCCUUGAAUUUAAGGUGGUCGGUUGGUGGGGGGAAGAAGGAGAGGGGAAGAAGAAGAAAGAAAGGAAGAAAGAAAAAGAAGGAAAAGGAAAGGAGAGGAAAGAAAGAAAAAGAAGGAAAGAAAAGGACAGGGGAGGAAAGAAAGAAAAAUAAGGCGUUUGAAAUUAUUAAUAUUAUAUCGAAAAUAGAGGCAUAUAACCUUAAAUUAAGCUUUAAUAUAAUGCAACUUUAAAAUAAUUAAAUUGGUAAAAAGAAAUUGAACAAUAAGCACAAUAACUAAAACUAGAGUAAUUAAAUUAAAAUAAUUAAAUUGAUACAAAAAAGUACAAACGUGUUAAUGUACAAACAUGUGCCAUACACCCCUAAAAUUGAUGGUUCGAUGGUGUAGUCCUAGGGGUAUACCUAUUCGGAGGUCGACGGUCACGUUCUGGGUGCCCGCGACGACCGACAUUAUCAUUUGGCGCAGGUGGUGGUGUAGUAAAAAUAGGGAGGAAAUCAUUUUGAGCAGGUCCCUCGUUCGACAGCGAUGAACUUGAUGCACCUGAGGGAGUCCUAUAAUGCUGCGGAUAUGGGCAGGGCGAGUAGGAUCCGAAUAGUUCAAAGUCGUAUGCAUAUUCUGGCCCUGAGAAGCUCGGCAAAUUGUUAGUGCCUGACAAAUCCGGAUGAUAGCUAUCUGAACCGACAAAUCCAGAUUGCUUCGGAUCUGGCUGGGGCUCCUGCUCGGGCUCCGAUGGUUCUGGAGAAUAAUAUGCCAUGGGAUCCAGAUCAUGCUGGGCCGCUGUGGCCGAUCCCCCAUGUCGCUGCAUGUGCGGGGGGAUUACAAUUGACUGGACUCCGUAUAAAUAUGGCUUCCCGCAACUAUAGUACCAUUGCAUAUACUCUACUGAUGGUUGCGAGUCGGUAGCCAUAACCAUCUGAGGUCUUCGACGAAAUCGAUCGUUCCACAGCGCCACAAAUUUUCGGUGCUUAAUUCCCCAAUCUAUCAUCGAUUUUCCUUUCUUAUUCUUGCCGUGAACUUCUCCCACCUCACACGGCGGAUCCGGGAUAGGUUGGAUAAAGCCAAACUGCCGUAGCACCCGAUCCCCGUGAUACCACUCGACCAUGUUGAAAUUUAUAAUUGGUGCGUUAGUGCACCAUAUGUACGAAUGCACGUACGCAGACGAGGGUACCACGGCGGUAAUUUCUGGCGUUCGGUACGGCGUCCAUAUAAACUGCAUGAUUAAUAACAUGGUUAUAAUUAGCCAUAACGUGUGCGUAAGAUAUAGAAAGUAAGAUGUCAUGAAUAUUAGAAUAGCAUGAAUAUUAGAAUAGCAUCUUACCCCAUCCCGGGCAUAUUGUUCAAUCAUGAGGCGGUAUAGCGGGACAUUGUACGACUUCCCGAUACCCGGACGAGCAGUCCACCUACAAAAAACAAAUAUAGCGUUUAGAGUUGGUAACAUUAGUCAAUAUAUUAUGACUACAAAUAAUGAGAAGUUAUAUUUUAUCACCUGUUCAGCAGUGGAUAAACAUACGGUUGGUGUCUAACCGAUGCCAAAAAUGGCAUCCGAUACAGCGCCCAGAACUGCAGCAGUGAGAGGCAUCCGCCAAUGUCGCGAACUUUCAGAUCUGUCGCUCGAAAAAGCUCUCGAUACAAGACUGCUAGCAAGGCUGAGCCCCAGCUAUGGGAGCUAACACUGGACAAGUCAGCUAACAGGGGCAAGUACAUCAAAUUCACCUUGUCGUUGCUUGCAUCAGGUAUGAUUUCUCCCCCUAUGAUAUGCAUGAUGUACGCUCGAGCAGCGCACAUCAACUCGCCUUCAGUGGCUGUCGCUGAUAAUUGUCCAUACUUGGCUUUCAGCCAUGUAAAUGGUAAGCCCGAAAAAUAUGACUCACCGUCCCCUGGUGAGUCUCCUAGAAGCUGAUAGCAAAGUGCAUCCGGAUCAGUAAAUGCAGAUAAUCCCGUUACGGGACUCCCGUCAAUUGGGAGCCCAAGCUGCAACGCUACAUCCUCCAAGGUCACCGUGCACUCCCCGCACGGAAAAUGAAAAGUGUGGGUCUUCGGGCGCCACCGCUCCACUAGCGCAGAUAAUAAAUCAAAGCGCAAGACGGUGUACCGGAUCUGUGCUACGGACCCAAAUCUGGCUAGCUCUAAGUACGGCAUCAACCGUGCAUCUGGAGUAUUCUUCAAAACACUCACACGGCCCCUUAAAACUCGGUACGAGUCCUGAUAGUGUUAAAUUACAGAAAAAUUUUACGAUAACAUUAUUUCUUUGUACGUCUAUCCUUUUUAAAUAAAUAGAACCCAUGAUAAAUAAAUAAUAAACCAUACCGCGUUAUUAGCCGCAUCAGAUAUGUGGCUUUUGGUGCUAAUCAAUGAAGCCAUUGCGAUGCCUGCAAGUUAAAAAAAAAGUUAGUAAAAAACUCUUACUUCGGCCAUUUGUUCGUAUUUUUUUCUCCGCAUUUUAUUACUUUAAAAAAUAUCUUCAUUUCUAAUUUUAUAAUUUUACAUAAUGUUUUAAAUUUAUUAAUUUAGUGUGUUUUUAAAAUUAAUUUAGUGUAAAAAAAUCAUUAUCCCUGCCAUUUACUCGUAUUAUUUAGUGUAUUUAGUGUAAAAUUAAUUUAU
rnacentral:lncRNA from 1 species